GGCAUCACCAAGCCGGCGAUCCGGAGGCUGGCCAGGAGGGGCGGCGUGAAGCGCAUCUCGGGGCUCAUCUACGAGGAGACCCGCGGCGUGCUCAAGAUCUUCCUCGAGAACGUCAUCCGCGACGCCGUCACCUACACUGAGCACGCUCGCCGCAAGACCGUCACCGCCAUGGACGUCGUCUACGCGCUCAAGCGCCAGGGCCGCACCCUCUACGGCUUCGGCGGCUAGAUUCGUGUCGUGUGUCCGUGUGUUCUGUGGAAGACGGGUUUUACUACUGCUUUGGCGUGCGUCGUUGUGUUCCGUCUUGUGUUCAUUAGGCUGUAAUUCCUUGUUGCGGUCAAUGAAACUAGUUCUGUUCUGAAUCCUGACCUGAAGUGCAAUUGGUUUGACUUAGAUGAAAUGCAAUUGGAUGAACGAUUUAUCACUCGUUGCAAUCUGUACAGAUGCAGAAGUAUUGUUGGAGUGGUAAAAUGUGAAUCAAGACGCCAGAUGCAUAUUCCUGAAAUACUGACCAAGUGCUUCGCUGUGUUGAAUUCGGUUUUGGUUUUCUAAGGUUGGUUGGUUUGAUAUUAGAUUUCUCAUUUUAGAUCGUGUAUAGCUGAAGUGCAGUUGAUUUGUCUUAGCUGAACUGCAGUUGAUUGAACGAUUUACCACUCGUUGCAACCUGUAGAAGGGGCGCAUCCUUUUGAUUUGGUUUGGUUUCACUGGGGAACGAAUCUUGUUUUUUUUUUCUGUGCAGAUCUACAGAUGCACAGGUGUGGUUGUUGGAGUGGUACGAACCCUCCAUUAAAAUGUGAAAUCAAGAUGCAAGAUACCUAUUCCUUAAAUCUUCACCAAGUGCUUCGAUGUGUUGGAUCCGGUUUUGAUUUUUGUAAGUCUGGUUAAUUUGUUUUAUUAUUAUAUUUCUUGCUUUAGAUCGUAUAGCUCUACUGCUGGACUGUACAUUUGAGUUAUAAUUGAAAUGCAACUGAACCAAUGUUUACAUUGGACAGAUAGCUGAACUGCAAUGGAUCCAGUAUUGAACGUUCGAGUUGUUGCUGAAAUGCAAUUGAAUGAAUAAUUAUCACUCAUUGCAAUCUGUAGAAGAGACGGACCCUUCUGUUUGGUUUUGGUUUUGCUGGGGAGUGAAUCUUGAUUUUUUUUUUCUGCAGAUCUACAUACCCCAAAGUGGUCGGACCCUUCCCUGGACCCUGCACAAGCGGGAGCUACAUGCACCAGGUUGCCCUUUUAUCUACAUACUCCAAAUGUAUAUAAAAUUUCUGAAUGAUACAUCAAGCCUCUGGAGUAUAUAAAAUUUUGAAUGUUUCAAUGUUGGUGGGGUGUAAAUAAUCUAGUCAAUACAAAUAUGAAAUCAAAACGCCAAAUAUGGCCUUCUAUUCCUGAAUGAAACAACAACGAGCAUGUGGAGCAACUAUCAGAAUGUUUCUGAAUGAUACAUUAAGCACUGGGGCAAUCAAAACAUUUCUGAAUGAUACAUCAAGCCUCUGGAGCAACCAUCAGAUUUGAAAUAGUACAUCCGACAACUACAACUGCAUGCUGUAUGUAGAACAACUAUCUGAGGCUCUGCACUAAACUGAUAUUUUUCCUAAUAAUCAGCUCGUUCCUCAGAGGAAUGUACAGUAGAGAUUAUAUUCCUUUCCUAAUAAUAAUCUUGUUCCUCAGAAGGAUAUACAGUACUACAACCAACUCGUAGGAUGAUUUUUCUUCUUUGAGAAAUUGUAAGUCCCUAUCAAUAAUUCUCUAGAGCAGGAAUUGCUUGCCGGUGUAUGUUUUGCCAAACUCCCAAUCCUUGGGCACAACGUUAAAAUUGGUCAUCGUCGUGCCGUCACUCGAGGUGAGCUCAAAGGACACCGGCUGCCCUGUGAGAUCUAAGUUGAUGUGCCAUAUCUGGCCCCAGUUGCGGCCCAUAUCGAGCCAGCCAGACUCUGUUCCUUUGAUCUUCACUGAUCUGACAUCGCCAGCGCCACCGACAUUGCUGAUUAGGACUGUGAAGAAGAAGCUCUUCCCGGAGACCGAGAACCGCACGCCGCCUUCACGAAGGCACUUGACGCUGUUCAUAAGAAAACAAGUCAAUCUCAGCAAAGAAUCAGAGGCAUUUUUUCUGACAGGUUAAUGCUAUUAGUAGCUUUAUUUGUCCUUGUUGUUUGUUCUCAUGCAAAUCCUGCAAACUACUCCCUCCGCCCCAUAAUGUAAGACGUUUUUUCACACUAGUGUAGUGUCAAAAAACGCCUUACAUUGUGGGACGGGGGGAGUACUUAACAAGUAAUGAAAUGGUGUGACAUAGAUGAGUCCCAAAUCAUAGUAGGAUGUAUAUUUCCAUGUCAAUUGUCCUACGAAACAUGAAAUCUCCAGGAUCACGAAAACACAUUGAUAGCAGAAUGUUGUACAAAUCCGUCAUUCAGGAAACCAUCUCAAAGAAUCACCUCAAUUUUUCAAAUUACUAGACAACUUAGACGCACGUAAAGAUUAUUACACCCUUCUAUAAUAUACUUUUCAGUUUAGCAUACAUGCACGUUUUUAACUUUGUAUUCUGAAUGGCACAGGAGUAGAACCUCACUAAUUUACAGAUGCGAUCGUAGUCUGUUUGAAUCUCAAACAGUAACAAAUUAAAUGAAGUGUAAGCACAAGCUAAGAUGAUUAGUUUCAGUUCAAGAAAGUCCUAGUAGUAAAAAUAAUUAAUGAAGUUUUCUCUGGAAAAAUAAUCAAAUGAAGUUGUUUCAAAGGGAACUCAAAGAGCUACCAACCAGUGCAUAAAUAUCUAACACAAACAUAGAAUAUUAAGGACAACCACAAAUAAUGUGCCACUACAACUUGCAGGGCCAGUUUGAUUGUCACCAGGUAGUACCUGAGAAGCAGAUAACUUGUGUAGCUUUAUUAGUGAUGAUGUGCAUUUUUGCUGUUUCGUGAAACAGUGGUUUGUUCUCUACCAUACAUUUAUUCUUUCUCUUUGGAAUAGUGCUAAUUGCUAUUCGCUAACAGUAAAGGAGCUAUAUAACAGCUGAUGAAGCUAAAGUCUGACAUAGUUUAGUUGCAGAGCACAGCAGGGUUGAUAUUGCUGCCAAUUGCCUCAGGCGAUGAUUUGGAACAUCAAAUCUUGAGGAUAAAAAAUGCACAUUAACAACACAUUUCAUUAAACCUGUCAUUCAUCAAAGCAUCUAGAAGAAGUACCUGUCUCUGCUACACCUUUUAAGUGUGGCAUAUAUGCAGGUUCCUAACUUUAUGUUCUGAACAGCACCAGCAUAGUGCUUGCUAAUUUACCAAAUUUGAGUGUGAAGUGUUACCAUUCGCCAUAUCCUAAUAUGUUUGGAUCUUAAAUACCAAUAACAAACCAAAAAAAGGGUAAAGCUAAGAUGAUUAAACAAUCAGGCAAGUCACUAUCCAAAGUUCCUUUUUAACACAGUUUUAGUAGUACAAAUAAUCAACUAGAUUUCCCUCAAGAAAAUAAAUCAAGUUGUUUAAAGGAUCCCAAGGAGCUACCAACUGGCAUAAAUAUCAAACAUAACCACAGAAUAUUAAGGACAACACCAGUUAAUGCGCCACUACUAUUUGUAGGGCCAGUUUGGUGAUACCGGGUACUGGAGGGCACAUCAUGUAAACCCAGAAGCAAAUAACCUGGUGAUGCUAGUUCGGUGCACAUCAACAACUCUAGAAGUUCCAAAAAAAAUCUUGCAACCUCUCCAUUAAUAUGGUUCAACCAGUCCUUACAGCAGUCAAUAGAAUAUUUAAGCACUAACUGUCAAUAAGAUCCACAUUUCCCAGAAUUCCUCAGUUAUCAACAAAAUACAGGAUAAUCACUCAGAUAAGAGGUGCUUAGUUUCUUUAUGUUUUUAAUUAAUUUUCAUAUGAGUUAUCAUAGCUCAGCAUACCGAUUCUGCACUCUAGUAACCAUAGACUGUCGUGAAUUGUGGAAUAAAAUUUAGAUGAUGUGAAAAUAUAUGCAAUGAUGAAUCCAAUGAUAUAUAUUUGGUGGUGUAUAUGUUAAUAUAUUUUUCUACAAACUUGUUUAAAGUAUAUAAAGUUUGACUUCAGACAAACGUAAUAUGCGGAGUAAAUAAAAACGGAGGGAGGACAACUAGUUAUCACCAGCUGCAUUAUCAUCAUCAAGAUGAUAGCGCUGUUUUAAUUCUAAGAGAGCCCCAAAGAACAAAAUAAACUCAAGGAGCCACGAAAGUCUAAUGCUUACACCAAUGAAUAUGAUGCAAAUACUGAACCAAACUGUAGUACAGUACUAUAAUUGAUCAAAUCACGCAAACCGAGCAUGUGAUACUCUAGAUAGUCAAUGGCUCGAUGCUGCAUCAAAAGGCUCAUAGGUGCUUUCCUCCUAACCCAAACACCAAAUCACAUUAGUACAUUUAUUUACACUUGGUUCUAUGCAUCUUUGUACUACCUUGUUAGUAAAGGAAGGCCACAUUAGAGCAGAUAAAACUACCCUAAUUCGAAUCCUAACCAAAAGAACUUGCACUUCACCACAGUGGAAGAGGGUCCACUUGAUCCCCUCCACACUUUCCUCACCAACGGACACUUGCAAUUCAGCUUUUUUGGGAUCCCACAUUGCGGCAAACCAAAGCAAUCUCUAGCUUGGCAAGCACUUUCCCAGCUCUACACAAAUUGAAUCAGGAAACCGAGGAAACUUUGGCCUUAGAUCUAGCCGAACAUGGAGUGCAAAGCAGAGCGAGAUCGAGUGCAGGCAAGAAUGGAGCAUACGUACCGGCGGUACUGGAUGGGCAUGACGCCGGCCUUCCAGAGCGCAAUCUUCUCGAAUGCCUGGAUGGGGAGGAGGAAAUGGUGGUUGGGCGGGUUGCAGACGCCGCCGGCGUCGGCGGGGAAUCCGUAGUUGGGCGGGCAGAAGUUGGUGGCGGUGACGACGAUGGAGGUGCCGGGGAGGCAGUACUUGAGGUCCUCCACGCACUUGACCUCGUAGCAGCCCCCGCAGGCGGCGCCGCGCUCGAACAGCGCCGUGCUCAGCCCCACCGUUGCCAUCCCGUACCCGUGCUUCCCCAGAUCCCCGAACCCGCACGCGCCACCUGCACGCCGCACCCCACAAAAAGAAAAUCACAGAUCAGCUCCGUGCCCAUGUCCAUGGCCGCCAGGAUCGCAAGAACCGACUGUGGUACGAGCAGAGAAGCUCCGGUAACCGAGCGUGCGGUUUGUGGAAAUUCCGUUGGCGGCAACAUACCGAAAGAGGAAAAGUGAACUAAUUAAUGCCUGCAGCAUGGACGCGAGGAAUUUUGGUAGGAGCGCAAGGACGGUUUGGUGGAUUCGUUUCUUGGACUGCUGCCAUGACGGAGAGCUAGGCGAGGUUUGUUGGUGCUUACCGAUGGCGUCCCCGGGGUCGGCGGCGAAGUAGGAGGACUUGGCGUUGCGCCAUUCGGAUAGGGCGGAGGAGCCGUAGGAGGAGGGGUGCUGGUGGCCGGCGGCGAGGGCCGGGAGGAGGAAGACGACGAGGAGGAUGAGCGGGGGAGCCAUGGCUCCCAGCAAGCAGCUUUUCGUCCGUGCGCUUGCUUCUCAGUGAAGUGAAGCAGGGGAGAGUGUGAAAUGGAGGUGCUGUGCUUCGGUGUUCUGUCUUUUUAUUUUGCAGGUUCUGGGGCCUUCUUUGCCUUUAUACAUGUGCACACGGGUAUAUUUUUAGUGCAGGUUCUCUUCUCGAGUGCUCCAGCUUUUGAUCGAUUAAUUCUUUUCUUUUCGGGAAAGAGUGCAUUUGCUCGUCUGUUUUGUUUCCUUUCCUGGUGCACCGCAGCUUAUUGCUUCGGUGAAACGGCAAAAUUAGAGCACUUACAAUCGGACUUUGCAAAUUCGGCUCCUCAAACGUUCGCAGAUAGUGACCGGUCACGUCUUAAACUAAUCAUUCUAUAUCACCUUUUUCACAUUUCAAUCCUUAGAUUCAUACAAAGCAUGCAAAAAAAAAAAUCAUACGCACGUACCCUAACUAAUCUUCGUUGUCGGAGACGUCCACAACAAUGUGUCGGGCGCCGGUUGCACGGGCGGGUAGGAGGGUGCCGGCUGCUCGACCUCAUCCAUAUAGGCGAGCAUCUCCGUCUCCUCCGCGACCUACUGCGCCUCGAUCUCCUGCCGGCGACGGCGUCUGGCCUCCGCAGCCGAUUCCGACGGGAGGGAAUCGAGGAUGGUCUGCUGCUCCGCCUGCAAAUCCACUGCAUCCGGAGGUAGCCCCUCGGCGAUCCGGACUUCACGCUUAGCCCGGAUCUGCUGAAGGAGCUCGAGCCGGCACUCCGGCGCCAUAAAUGGCCCGCUCUUCACCCGACGGCGUGGAGGCAUGGCUACUAAGCGGACGGGUGAAGUAAAAAGUGGCGAUGUGAACGGACAUGUGGAAGAAAAUGUGGAUGGACGGUAGGGUUUCGGCGCCGCCGGUCGACUUAAAUAGCUGGGCUAGGCACUAAGUGACCCGCCGGAGCUGCGUCACGCGGCCAGUGCUCAAAAGGAGACGAGCUUCGGAUCGUCGGGUUUCCAGGUGUUUUCGGCUGGGACCCCGCCGCCAGUUCGACGUGGCAGGUGUGCCCGGACGCGUUCGGACGCCCCAUAUCCGUCACAUAUUUAGACUGGAUAUGAGGGUGUCGGUCAGCCCGGGCGUUUGAAGUCUGUUUGAGAUGUCUAUCUGAAUCGAAAAAACAUGACCGAUGAGUGACUGGACGGACUGCCGGGCAUUUGAGGCCGGUUUGGGACCCACGGCUUAGAUGCUCUUAACAAAUUCUAUCAUGAGUGAGAGGUUCAUGAUAAACCCGGAUCGACGGUCAGUACUGCCGACGCUGCUCGAAACAGUUGUGUUAAGGUACUCGUAGAUACUCUCUCGAUUACUAGUAGCAAUCACUUGCGGAUACAAGUUUGGUGGCGAUUACAGGAACGAUACAAGAAUUUGGUUGCUAGGGUUCGACGCGAGACAGGAAGAGGAAAGGGGAAAAGAGCCGAGCCGCCGUUGUCGUGAUCCUCUGGAUAACCCUAGGACGCUGCCGCUCCUCUCCUCAAGUAGCUUCCAGGACGGGCUUCAGUUAACCCACGCUGGGCCGGAGACGCGUGGGUUGGGCUUCCUGGGCCGGGCCGCACGUGGAGCCGUGGAGACCUGAUCGUUGGUGUUGCCUUGCGGGCCGGCCCUAUCAGGGACGCUGACAUCCCCCUCUUCUUGAGCAGAGGCUUGCCCCAAGCCUCCGCGAGCGAGAAACGCUCCCUGAGACUCGCCUUGUCUUCCCAAGUUUCGCCGAGCGUCUCUGAAUUGGACCAACGGACGAGCACUUGUUCCCUCAUCUUGCCCUUCUCCUGGAGCCAUCUUGAUUGCAGAACUGCCACAGGAACCGCGAGCUCAUCAUAACAAUGAGGUAACUGAGGUUCAACAGCCAUACCCGUGCUCAGGACGCGUCGAAGGAGCGAGACGUGGAAGACUGGAUGGAUAGUUGCUUGCGAAGGAAGCUGGAGCUUGUAGGCGACAUCGUUGAUCUUGCCGAUGAUAGGAAAUGGACCGUAGUACUUGAAUGCCAGCUUGUGAUUUGCUCGUGGCGCGACGGAGGUUUGGAUAUAUGGUUGCAGUUUCAGGUACACUUGAUCGCCCACUUCAAACUGACGGAACGAUCGCUUCUUAUCCGCCUGGCUUUUCAUCAGCUGUUUUGCUCUGUUCAGGUGUUGCUGUAACAGUUCCUGCACCGUAUCCCUUUCCUCGAGCCACGAGCUGAGUGCUGGCACUGAACAGGUGUUGUUUGCUGUUAUCCCCCAGUGCCGUGGCUCGUAACCGAACAUAGCUUUGAAGGGCGUCAUGCCUAUGGCCGAAUGGUGUGAGUUGUUGUACCAGAACUGAGCUAACGGGAUCCAAAAACUCCACCGCCUGGGAUAAGCUUGAGUGAAACACCUCAAGAAUGUUUCCACACACUGGUUAACUCGCUCUGUUUAGCCAUCCGUUUGCGGGUGGUUGGCUGUGCUGAGUCUAAGUUGUGUGCCUGCGGCCUUGAAAAGCUCCUGCCAAAAGUGGCUAGUGAACACAGGAUCGCGAUCUGAUACUAUUGCUCCCGGGAGACCAUGCACUCUGUAGACUUGUUGGAUGAAAAGUUGGGCCACCGAUGCUGCUGUGUAUGGGUGCGCUAGUGGCAAGAAGUAGCUGAACUUGGUUCGCUUGUCUACAAUCACCAGGAGACAGUUGAACCGGCUGGAUUGUGGGAGGCCGUCCACAAAAUCCAUGGAUAUCAUAUCCCAAGGUUUGUUAGGGAUUGGUAACGGCAGCAAGAGACCUGGUGAAGCUGCCCGAUCUAGUUUCGCUUGCUGGCAUAUGACACAACACUGCACAUAGUGUUUGAUUUGAACUUUCAUUUUGGGCCAUGCAAAGAGACGCCUGAUGCGUCUGUAAGUGACUGGGAAUCCCGAGUGACCCCCUACUAGGCUGUCAUGAAACGCUUGGAUUAUACGUUGUUGUAUGUGUGUUCCUCCUCCCAGCCAAAUUCUGCCUUUGAACCUGAUGAUGCCUUGCUGCAGUAAGAACCUGCCUUUGGGAUCGUCACGCACAACCAGCUGUUCCAAUAGUUUAUGCGCCUGCGGGUUGUUGUUAUAACUGUUGAUAGCAUCUUCUAACCAACUAGGUUGACAUGACGUGACCACUGAUAGCACCUCCGCUGGACUGGCGCGUGACAAGGCGUCCGCGCCGUUGUUUUCAGAUCCCUUCUUGUACUUGAUGCGAUACUGGAGUCCCAACAGCUUGGUAAAAGCUUUCUGUUGCCAUGGUGUGUUCAGCCGCUGUUCCUCCAGGUGAGUGAGGCUCUUCUGAUCUGUAUAUAUGACAAAUUCUGCGUUUUGCAAAUAAGGGCGCCAUUGAUCUACGGCCACGAUGAUUGCCAGAUAUUCUUUUUCGUAUGUGGACAGACCCUGAUAUCUCAGACUCAACGCUUUGCUCAUGAAUGCAAUGGGGUGUCCUUGUUGCUGCAGAAUUGCUCCAAUGCCUGUGUCGCAUGCAUCUGUCUCCACUGUGAAAGGCUGCUCGAAGUUCGACAAUGCUAGCACUGGUGCGGAGAUUAGGUGCUUCUUCAGGACUUGGAAAGCUGUUUCCGUGAUCGAUGUCCACUGAAAUGGCACGCCUUUCUUCAACAAAUUGAACAGCGGUCGUGCUAUCACUCUGAAAUUGCGCACAAAACGGCGAUAGUACCCUGCGAGACCCAGAAAGCUUCGGACUCCCUUGAUAUCUUGCGGUGAGGUCCAGUUGGUAACUGUUGCUAUCUUGGCCGGGUCCGUGGCUACCUUGCGAGCACUGAUGACAUGGCCUAGGUAGGAUACCUGGCUUUGCCCAAACGCACACUUGCUGCGCUUAACUUUCCACUGAUCCUUGCGUAGCAGUUCCAACACCUGCAGCACCUGGCACUUGUGCUCCUCUAACGUAGCACUGAAGAUUAAGAUGUCAUCGAAGAAGCAUAGCACGCAGACACGUAGCACUGGCUUGAGGGUUGUAGUCAGCCCUUCUAUGAACAUGGGUGGAGCCCCAGCCAACCUUGAACUCGAAGUGCCCCUGAUGCGUGGAGAAUGCCAUCUUGUACUCCUCCCCCGACGUGAGCCUGAUCUGAUGAUAGCCUGCGUGCAAGUCGAGCUUUGAAAACCACGCUGCACCAUGUAGCUCACCCAGGAGCUCUUCUAUAACAGGAAUUGGAAACUUGCCGACGACUGUAAUGGCAUUCAGUUGUCUGUAAUCUAUACAGAGACGCCAGGUUCCAUAUUUCUUCUUAACAAGUAUGACUAGAGAUGAAAAAGGACUAUUUCUUCGCUGAAUGACUCCUGAUUUCAGAAGUGCUUCGACUUGAGCUUCUAUCUCCGUCUUCUGUUCUGGUUUGUAACGAUAUUGCCUGACAUUUACUGGCUGAGCUCCAGGUAUUAGCGGAAUGCGGUGAUCGCACGCCCUUCGAGGUGGAAGCCCUACUGGUUCCGCAAACACAUCCGAAAAUUGGUCCAAGAUUUCCUGAAUGCACGCUGGAGUUUGCUCCAAUUCCUCCUGCUGGGCAGCCACCACACAAAGGUGUAUAAUGUGUGUGAUCGAUCUGUUGCUGCACAGGUUCUGCAACUGCAAGCUAUUGAUGGACUGACAACUGGUGGAAGUCGCGUCGUGCCCCAUGAGACGAAGCGGCCCUGCUGGAGUGGGAAUCUCAAUGAAACGAGCAUGCCAGUCUACCUACAUCGGGCUAUGUUCCUCUAACCAAUCCAUGCCGAGUAUAACAUCGUACGUGCCCAGAGCCAAAACUUUCAGAUCCGUGUAGAAUUCGUGCCCUUGAGCAUACCAUGCGCAUUGCGGCGCGACCUCAGUGCAGAACAGUUCUCCCCCAUCUGCCACACGCACACGACUUGGAUUAGGCAGAGGUCGAACCCCUGAAAGUCAACUUGCUAAGUGCUCGUUGAUGAAGGAAUUGGAGCUGCCCGAGUCGAUCAGCAUGAGUACUUCAUGCCCUUGAAGCCACGCUCGCAGCUGAAAAGCUUUGGCCGAGACCCCUCCCGUAACUGCCGAAACUGAGAUGGCCAUGGCUGUAUUCUAAACCUCAUCCUCGGAGCUCAUUUGAGUGUCGACGAAACUGUCAAGGCCGAAGAUAUCCAGAAGCUCCUCAACUACAUGCAGCUGCACUGUGGUGGGGCAUACAUGAUCGUGCCCCCAUCGUUCACCGCACUUAAAGCACAGCGUGCCCCCAUCGUUCACCGCACUUAAAGCACAGCCCCCGAGCUCGUCGGUAAUCACGGAGGGUCUUGAGCUUGGACGCGUCAGCGCGGGCCGCGUCUGUACCACGACGAUCUGCUGCCUGCGUCGCUGGUACCGAUCGCACCGGAGGUGGGUGAAGUGGCAUGGGAGUGCCUCCCCGCUUGAAAGAUCGUGGAUGUCGCCUAGAGGGGGGGAGGGGGGAAUAGGCGUUUUAAAAUAAUUACGGUUUAGGCUUGAACAAAUGCGGAAUAAACCUAGCGGUUAAUUUGCCAAGCACAAAACCUAAAACAACUAGGCUCACCUAUGUGCACCAACAACUUAUGCUAAGCAAGAUAAGCAACUAUGUGAUAGCAAGAUAUAUGACAAGAAACAAUAUGGCUAUCACAAAGUAAAGUGCAUAAGUAAAGGGGCUCGGGUAAGAGAUAACCGAGGCACGCGGAGACGACGAUGUACCCCGAAGUUCACACCCUUGCGGAUGCUAAUCUCCGUUUCGAGCGGUGUGGAGGCACAAUGCUCCCCAAGAAGCCACUAGAGCCACCGUAAUCUUCUCACGCUCUCGCACAAUGCAAGAUGCCGUGAUUCCACUAAGGGACCCUUGAGGGCGGUCACCGAACCCGUACAAAUGGCAACCCUUGAGGGCGGUCACCGAACCCGUACACUUUGGCAACCCUUGGGGGCGGUCACCGGAACCCGUCAAAUUGCUCGGGGCAAUCUCCACAACCUAAUUUGAGACCCCGACGCUUGCCCGGAUCUUUAGACCACAAUGAUUGAGCUCCGAACACCACCAACCGUCUAGGGCACCCAAGCACCCAAGAGGAACAAGCUCAAGGGUACCAAGCACCCAAGAGUAAUAAGCUUCUCAACUUGUAACUUCCACGUAUCACCAUGGAGAACUCAAACCGAUGCACCAAAUGCAAUGGCAAGGGCACACGGAGUGCCCAAGUCCUUCUCUCUCAAAUCCCACCGAAGCAACUAAUGCUAGGGAGGAAAAUGAGAGGAAGAACAAGAAAGAGAACACAAAGAACUCCAAGAUCUAGAUCCAAGGGGUUCCCCUCACAUAGAGGAGAAAGUGAUUGGUGGAAAUGUGGAUCUAGAUCUCCUCUCUCUUUUCCCUCAAAAACUAGCAAGAAUCCAUGGAGGGAUUGAGAGUUAGCAAGCUCAAAGAAGGUCAACAAUGGGGGAAGAACACGAGCUCCAAGGAUAAGGUUCAUUGGGGAAGAAGACCCCCUUUAUAGGAGGGGGAAAAUCCAACCGUUAUGUGCUCAGGCCGCACACGAGCGGUACUACCGCUCCACGAGCGGUACUACCGCUCAGGUGGAAGAAACAGGGAAAAGGAGCAACAAAACAUGAACCUUAGGGCGGUAGUACCGCAGGAGACAGCGGUACUACCGCUGGGUUAAGCGGUACUACCGCUCCCUUCAACGGUACUGCCGCGCAGAACGAAGGGUAAAGGGAAAGAGGGAACCGGGCGGUACUACCGCGGAGGAAGGGCGGUACUGCCGCUAAGGAGCGGUACUGCCGCACUACUGCCAGCGAGGUACCGCACAAUCCGACAUAGAAAAAGACCCCUCGAAACGACGUGGUAGGGACCUGGUAAGCCAACGGUAGUACUGCUGCGGAGUCACCGCUGGUACUACCGCUUCGGAGCGGUACUGCAGCUUGUGACCCCUCAACAAUGGGGGAAGAACACGAGCUCCAAGGAUAAGGUUCAUUGGGGAAGAAGACCCCCUCUAUAGGAGGGGGAAAAUCCAACCGUUAUGUGCUCAGCCCGCACACGAGCGGUACUACCACUUAGGUGGAAGAAACAGGGAAAAGGAGCAACAAAACAUGAACCUUAGGGCGGUAGUACCGCAGGAGACAGCGGUACUACCGCUAGGUUAAGCGGUACUACCGCUCCCUUCGGCGGUACUGCCGCGCAGAACGAAGGGUAAAGGGAAAGAGGGAACCGGGCGGUACUACCGCGGAGGAAGGGCGGUACUGCCGCUAAGGAGCGGUACUGCCGCACUACUGCCGCAGCGAGGUACCGCACAAUCCAACACAGAAAAAGACCCCUCGAAACGACGCGGUAGGGACCUGGUAAGCCAACGGUAGUACUGCUGCGGAGUCACCGCCGGUACUAUCGCUUCGGAGCGGUACUGCCGCUUGUGACCCCUUAGCGGUACUACCGCUGGAUACCACGGUACUACCGCUGGGACCCUGACAAAACCACACUCAAGAAAAGAAGAACUGCCAUAACUUCUGCAUAUGAGCUCCGAAUUGAGCAAACUCAAGCUUGUUGGAAACAAGACGACGAGUAGCAUCAAAACAGCGGCUGGUUAUAGUAAGAAGAGGCAGGGGAGGUAUGCAUAACAAAAAGAGGAGUGAAACCUCCAACCGAGAAGAAUCGGCAAAACCUCCAACAUCGAAAACAUCAUAGAAGAGGCAUGCGAACUCCGUUUUCGAUGAACUCAAGCUUGUCAUCAAGAUGACCAUAAGCUCUAAGAUUCACAAAGAGAACCAAACAAGAACCAAGAAAUAUGAUGCAAGGAUGCAAUGGUUUGAGCUCUCUACGAACGAUACGAUCAAGCUACUCAUCGAGAGCCCCCCUUGAUAGUACGACAAUCGAUCCUAUAACCCGGUCUCCCAACUACCAUCAUGAGACCGGUAAAAUAGAAAACCUACCAAGGGCAAACCUUUGCCUUGAACAUGGUCCAUUUGAGCUAGAUGAUGACGAUCUUGACUCCCUCAAGUUGGACCACCUUUCUUGAUUGGGUUGACUCGAUGAAGACUAGUUGAUUGCUCCCCCAUACUCCACUAUGGGUGAGCCACUCUUCCGCACAUCUUCACAAGUCCAUUGUCACCACAAAGGAUGGCAAGCUUCAAGCAUUUGAUCUCUUCGUGAUGCUCCACUUGAAAUUGCACACCGCAACCUUUCUUGAUUGUGUUGACUCAAUGAAGACUAGUUGAUUGCUCCCCCAUACUCCACUAUGGGUGAGCCACUCUUCCGCACAUCUUCACAAGUCCAUUGUCACCACAAAGGAUGGCAAGCUUCAAGCAUUUGAUCUCUUCGUGAUGCUUCACUUGAACUUGCACACCGCAACCUAACCCCACAAAGAACCCUCACGAAGACCAUGGGUCAGUACACAAAGCGUAAUUGGCAAUGCUUACCAUACCAUGGGAUCACUUGAUCCCUCUCAAUACAUCUUCUACGCUUUGUGGGUUGAUCAGCUUGAUUCACUCUUUGACUUAGUCUUGAUCAACCUCUCACAAGACCAAUCUUUAGGUAAUUCCUUGAAUAGCACCUUGGUCGACACAAACUCUCCUUGAACCCAACACAUGUACUCCAAGAAAAGUCUAUGGACAAAACCUUCAAAUAUAACUCAAGGCAACCAUUAGUCCAUAGAGAUUGUCAUCAAUUACCAAAACCAAACAUGGGGGCACCGCAUGUUCUUUCAAUCUCCCCCAUUUUGGUAAUUGAUGACCAUCACUUUCAAGAGAGUUUAAUACACGGAAUUAUGCAUCACCAUGCAAUGCAACAACUAAUAAUGCAUGCGUAUGAGAUGCAAAUGCUUAGGAACAAAACCAAAGCAAGGAGAAAACUCUAAAGACUUCUCCACAAAACUCUCUGAAACCUCCACAAAACUCUCUGAAACUUCUCCCCCAUUGGCAUCGAUUGCCAAAAUGGGCGAAAAGCUUAGAAGGCCAAUAUAGAUUGAGUUCCUCCAGAAGUUGUGUAUUUCUCAACAAGAGAGAGGAAUGCAAUACACAUAUCCAACGGUAAAUACUUGGAGGAAGACAAACUAUAUUGAGGCCCAAAGAUUGCUAAAGGAAGAUAUGCCACAAAGACAUAAUCGACAGAGACACAAGCAAUCAAGCGAUCAAAAGAUACCAAUUGAAGCAAGCUAUCAAAAGAUACCAAUUGAACCAACUAGGCCAAUGAUCCUACGAGCCACAAGAAAGAAAGAUAUUAUGAUAUGAGCAUAGGAGUGUUCUAAAGAAACUAGAGAAGCUCCCCAUGAUUUGUGCACAUCAAGAAUUUUUGUAUUUGGAUACAAAGUGCACAAAAUAGGAUCAUAGCUCCCCCAAAAUCAAUAGAAACUUACAACAAGUGCAAGUGAGCAUAAAGGAAACUAAGCCUAGUACUUGCAACAAACACAUGGUUGAGCAACAAGUGAAAGAGGCAACUUAAGAAUGGGCUCAACCAAAAUGAUGUGUGAGAGUCAAGGCAAUGCACUUGAGAAGACUAAUGUACGGAUGAGCAUUAAGCAUCAAUAAAGUCUUGAAAGAAUGAGGCAACACGGUGCAAGGCCUAUCAUUACCACACACAACAAGCAAAUGGGUUCACAAGCUUACUAAUAAGCAUAUAAAGAACCUAUGCUUGUGACAACCCGUGGUGAAGAUAGAAGAUGAAAGCCUCAUCAAGAUGAGGGAUAUCAAUUAAGAUGGCAAAAGCCUCGUAAAGAUAAGCAUGACGAAAAUAAUCUUCACCACUCAAGAGUGCAUCAAGAUGCAACGAGAUAAGACACGCACUCAAGGCAAAAGCUUUCAUGGAGCCACCAAAGAAAUAACAUAAGAAAGACAAGGUGGUUGUGAAAGAAAGGAUAUCAACUAGAUAUGCAACUUUUCUCAAGUGUAUAAGAUUCUAGGUAGACGAAAUCAUGAUGAUAUAUAUCUACAAAGAAGGAUGUACAUGCGAAAUAGUUGCAACACGAGGAACAAGAUAUCCACAAGGAAAUCAUAAAUAUACCAAUAAGAUAUUUGCUUGAAAGCAUAGCACAUGGCUAGAUAAGGUCUUAUUGCAUAUAAAUGAAUUCCAACCACACGAACAUCAAAGACAUCACAACUAGCAACAAGACAUCAUUGUUGGGAUGCUUUGAGAAAGGAAACAAGUAUCACAAGAGAGAAUGGAUAACAUGCCAUGAUACAACCUACGAAAGGUUGAUGCAAGAAAUGUGUGCAUGAAGUAGAUGAUGAUACUUGUUACCGAGAUACCAUUGGAUGGAUGUAGUAGAUGCCAAUUAAAGGUAGAUAGUAGUUCAUUAAUCAUCCUAGCUUGACUCCAAUAAGCACAUGGUGACACCACCUUCCUUGUGAGUGAGCCGAGCAUCCAAUGCAUCUCCACUUGUUCCUAGAACAACAACACAAACAAAAUGGUACCCAAACUCAUUGGGACCAAAGAGUUAGAGAACCAACAACACAUAGGACAAACUCCACAUAAAUAUGUGCAUAUAGAUAUGAAAAUGAAUUUCAUGCACAUCUCAUCCAAUUUGAGACUUGGUGGAGUUCACCCUAUAUAUUGGGUCAAAGAAAGCAAACAUGCCAAAGAAACUACAAGAAGUAAAUAUGCAUGCUCAAGACUUUCAAGAACCGAGACCAAAAGACAAAGAAAUACCAAGCGAAGAAAAGAUACCAAAUGAAUAAAUCAUCACUUGGAGGAUAUCCAUUAAAGAUACAUCAAGGAAUGAGAUAUCUGAAGGAAAUAUGCCCUAGAGGCAACAAUAAAAGUUAUUAUUUCCUUAUAUCAUGAUAAAUGUUUAUUAUUCAUGCUAGAAUUGUAUUAACCGGAAACAUAAUACAUGUGUGAAUACAUAGACAAACAGAGUGUCACUAGUAUGCCUCUACUUGACUAGCUCGUUAAUCAAAGAUGGUUAUGUUUCCUAACCAUGGACAAAGAGUUGUCAUUUGAUUAACGGGAUCACAUCAUUAGUUGAAUGAUCUGAUUGACAUGACCCAUUCCAUUAGCUUAGCACCCGAUCGUUUAGUAUGUUGCUAUUGCUUUCUUCAUGACUUAUACAUGUUCCUAUGACUAUGAGAUUAUGCAACUCCCGUUUGCCGGAGGAACACUUUGUGUACUACCAAACAUCACAACGUAACUGGGUGAUUAUAAAGGAGCUCUACAGGUGUCUCCAAAGGUACAUGUUGGGUUGGUGUAUUUCGAGAUUAGGAUUUUUCACUCCGAUUGUCGGAGAGGUAUCUUUGGGCCCUCUCGGUAAUGCACAUCACUGAAGCCUUGCAAGCAUUGCAACUGAUGAGUUAGUUGCGAGAUGAUGUAUUACAGAACGAGUAAAGAGACUUGCCGGUAAUGAGAUUGAACUAGGUAUGGGAUACCGAGAUCGAAUCUGGGGCAAGUAACAUACCGAUGACAAAGGGAACAACGUAUGUUGUUAUGCGGUCUGACCGAUAAAAGAUCUUCGUAGAAUAUGUAGGAGCCAAUAUGAGCAUCCAGGUUCCGCUAUUGGUUAUUGACCGGAGACGUGUCUCGGUCAUGUCUACAUUGUUCUCGAACCCGUAGGGUCCGCACGCUUAAGGUGACGAUGACAGUUAUAUUAUGAGUUUAUGCAUUUUGAUAUACCGAAGGUUGUUCGGAGUCCCGGAUGUGAUCACGGACAUGACGAGGAGUCUCGAAAUGGUCGAGACAUAAAGAUUGAUAUAUUGGAAGCCUAUGUUUGGAUAUCGGAAGUGUUCCGGGUGAAAUCGGGAUUUUACCGGAGUACCGGGAGGUUACCGGAACCCCCCGGGAGGUAUAUGGGCCUUAGUGAGCCUUAGUGGAAGAAUAGAAGAGGCAGCCAGGGCUGGGCCGCGCGCCCCUCCCCCCCUUGGUCCGAAUUGGACAAGGAGAGGGGGCCGGCCCCCCUUCCUCCUCUCUCUCCUCUUCCCCCCCUCCAUGAAUCCUAUUCCAACUAGGAAAGGGGGGGAGUCCUACUCCCAGAAGGAGUAGGACUCCUCCUGGCGCGCCUCUCCUAGUCGGCCGGCCCCCCUCCCUUGAACCUUUAUAUACGGAGGCAGGGGCACCCCCUAGAGACACAAGUUGAUCCACGUGAUCAUAUUCUUAGCCGUGUGCGGUGCCCCCUUCCACCAUAGUCCUCGAUAAUAUUGUAGCGGUGCUUAGGCGAAGCCCUGCGACAGUAGUACAUCAAGAUCUUCACCACGCCGUCGUGCUGACGGAACUCUUCCCCGACACUUUGCUGGAUCGGAGUCCGGGGAUCGUCAUCGAGCUGAACGUGUGCUAGAACUCGGAGGUGCCGUAGUUUCGGUGCUUGAUCGGUCGGGCCGUGGAGACGUACGACUACAUCAACCAAACGCUUCCGUUGUCGAUCUACAAGGGUACGUAGAUCACACUCUCCCCCUCUCGUUGCUAUGCAUCACCAUGAUCUUGCGUGUGCGUAGGAAUUUUUUUGAAAUUACUACGAAACCCAACAGUGGUAUCAGAGCCAGGUUUUAUGUGUUGAUGUUAUAUGCACGAGUAGAACACAAGUGAGUUGUGGGCAAUAUAAGUCAUAUUGCUUACCAGCAUGUCAUACUUUGGUUCGGCGGUAUUGUUGGACGAAGCGGCCCGGACCGACAUUACGCGUACGCUUACGCGAGACCGGUUCUCCCAACGUGCUUUGCACAAAGGUAGCUAGCGGGUGACAGUUUCUCCAACUUUAGUUGAACCGAGUGUGGCUACGCCCAGUCCUUGCGAAGGUUAAAACAGCACCAACUUGACAAACUAUCGUUGUGGUUUUGAUGCGUAGGUAAGAUUGGUUCUUGCUUAAGCCCGUAGCAGCCACGUAAAACUUGCAACAACAAAGUAGAGGACGUCUAACUUGUUUUUGCAGGGCAUGUUGUGAUGUGAUAUGGUCAAAACAUGAUACUAAAUUUUAUUGUAUGAGAUGAUCAUGUUUUGUAACCGAGUUAUCGGCAACUGGCAGGAGCCAUAUGGUUGUCGCUUUAUUGUAUGCAAUGCAAUUGCGCUGUAAUGCUUUACUUUAUCACUAAGCGGUAGCGAUAGUCGUGGAAGCAUAAGAUUGGCGAGACGACAACGAUGCUACGAUGGAGAUCAAGGUGUCGCGCCGGUGACGAUGGUGAUCAUGACGGUGCUUCGAAGAUGGAGAUCACAAGCACAAGAUGAUGAUGGCCAUAUCAUAUCACUUAUAUUGAUUGCAUGUGAUGUUUAUCUUUUAUGCAUCUUAUCUUGCUUUGAUUGACGGUAGCAUUUUCAGAUGAUCUCUCACUAAUUAUCAAGAAGUGUUCUCCCUGAGUAUGCACCGUUGUGAAAGUUCUUCGUGCUGAGACACCACGUGAUGAUCGGGUGUGAUAGGCUCUACGUUCAAAUACAACGGGUGGAAAACAGUUGCACACGCGGAAUACUCAGGUUAUACUUGACGAGCCAAGCAUAUACAGAUAUGGCCUCGGAACAUGGAGAUCGAAAGGUCGAGCGUGAAUCAUAUAGUAGAUAUGAUCAACAUAGUGAUGUUCACCAUUGAAACUACUCCAUCUCACGUGAUGAUCGGACAUGGUUUAGUUGAUUUGGAUCAUGUGAUCACUUAGAGGAUUAGAGGGAUGUCUAUCUAAGUGGGAGUUCUUAAGUAAUAUGAUUAAUUGAACUUAAAUUUAUCAUGAACUUAGUCCUAGUAGUAUUUUGCAAAUUAUGUUGUAGAUCAAUAGCUCGCGUUGUUGCUUCCCUGUGUUUAUUUUGAUAUGUUCCUAGAGAAAAUUGUGUUGAAAGAUGUUAGUAGCAAUGAUGCGGAUUGGGUCCGUGAUCUGAGGUUUAUCCUCAUUGCUGCACAGAAUAAUUAUGUCCUUGAUGCACCGCUAGGUGAUGGACCUAUUGCAGAAGCAGAUGCAGACGUUAUGAACGUUUGGCUAGCUCAAUAUGAUGACUACUUGAUAGUUUAGUGCACCAUGCUUAAUGGCUUAGAAUCGGGACUUCAAAAACGUUUUGAACGUCAUGGAGCAUAUGAGAUGUUCCAGGAGUUGAAGUUAAUAUUUCAAGCAAAUACCCGAGUUGAGAGAUAUGAAGUCUCCAACAAGUUCUAUAGCUAAAAGAUGGAGGAGAAUCGCUCAACUAGUGAGCAUGUGCCCUGAUUGUCUGAGUACUACAAUCGCUUGAAUCAAGUGGGAGUUAAUCUUCCAGAUAAGAUAGUGAUUGACAGAAUUCUCUAGUCACCAUCACCAAGUUAGUAGAGCUUCGUGAUGAACUAUGAUAUGCAAGGGAUAACGGAAACGAUUCCCAAGCUCUUCGUAAUGCGGAAAUUGACGAAGGUAGAAAUCGAGAAAAACAUCAAGUGUUGAUGGUAUACAAGACCACUAGUUUCAAGAAAAGGGCAGAGGGAAGAAGGGGAACUUCAAGAAGAACAACAAGCAAGUUGCUGCUCAAGUGAAGAAGCCCAAGUCUGGUCCUAAGCCUGAGACUAAGUGCUUCUACUACAAAGGGACUGGUCACUGGAAGCGGAACUACCCCAAGUGAUUGGCGGAUAAGAAGGAUGGCAAAGUGAACAUAAGUAUAUUUGAUAUACAUGUUAUUGAUGUGUACUGUACUAGUGUUUAUAGCAACCCCUCAGUAUUUGAUACUAGUUCAGUUGCUAAGAUUAGUAACUCGAAACGGGAGUUGCAGAAUAAACAGAGACUAGUUAAGGGUGAAGUGAUGAUGUGUGUUGGAAGUGGUUCCAAGAUUGAUAUGAUCAUCAUCGCACACUCCCUAUACUUUUGGGAUUAGUGUUGAACCUGAAUAAAUGUUAUUUGGUGUUUGCGUUGAGCAUGAAUAUGAUUUGAUCAUGUUUAUUGUAAUACGGUUAUUCAUUUAAGUAAGAGAAUAAAUUGUUGUUCUGUUUACAUGAAUAAAACCUUAUAUGGUUACACACCCAAUGAAAAUAGUUCGUUGGAUCUCGAUCUUAGUGAUACACAUAAUCAUAAUAUUGAAACCAAAAGAUGCAAAGUUAAUAAUGAUAGUGCAACUUAUUUGUAGCACUGCCGUUUAGGUCAUAUUGGUGUAAAGCGCAUGAAGAAACUCCAUGCUGAUGGGAUUUUGGGAAUCACUUGAUUAUGAAUCACUUGAUGCUUGCGAACCAUGCCUUAUGGGCAAGAUGACUAAGACUCCAUUCUCCGGAAAAAUGGAGCGAGCAACUGACUUAUUGGAAAUAAUACAUACUGAUGUAUGUGAUCCGAUGAAUAUUGAGGCUCGCGACAAGUAUCAUUAUUUUCUGAUCUUCACAGAUGAUUUGAGCAGAUAUGAGUAUAUCUACUUGAUGAAACAUAAGUCUGAAACAUUUGAAAAGUUCAAAGAAUUUCAGAGUGAAGUGAAAAAUCAUCGUAACAAGAAAAUAAAGUUUCUACGAUCUGAUUGUAGAGAAGAGCAUUUGAGUUACGAGUUUGGCCUUCAGUUAAAAACAAUGUGAAAUAGUUUCACCACUCACGCCACCUGGAGCACCACAAUGUAAUGGUGUGUCCGAACGUCAUAACCAUACUUUAUUAGAUAUGGUGCGAUCUAUGAUGUCUCUUACCGAUCUACCACUAUCAUUUUGGGGUUAUGCAUUAGAGACAGCUGCAUUCACAUUAAAAGGGCACCAUCUAAAUCUGUUGAGACGACACCGUAUGAACUGUGGUUUGGCAAGAAACCAAAGUUGUCGUUUCUUAAAGUUUGGGGUUGCAAUGCUUAUGUGAAAAAGUUUCAUCCUGAUAAGCUCAAACCAAAUCGGAAAAGUGUGUCUUCAUAGGAUACCCAAAAAGUUACUGUUGGGUACACCUUCUAUCACAGAUCCAAAGGCAAGACAUUCGUUGCUAAGAAUGGAUCAUUUUUAGAGAAGGAGGUUCUCUCGAAAGAAGUGAGUGGGAGGAAAGUAGAACUUGAUAAGGUAAUUGUACCUUCUCCCUUAUUGGAAAGUAGUUCAUCAUAGAAAUCUGUUCCUGUGACUAUUACACCAAUUAGUGAGGAAGCUAAUGAUGAUGAUCAUGUAACUUCAGAUCAAGUUACUACCGAAUCUCGUAGGUAAACCAGAGUAAGAACCGCACCAGAAUGGUACGGUAAUCCUGUUCUGGAGGUCAUGCUACUUGACCAUGACGAACCUACGAACUAUGAAGAAGCGAUGGUGAGCCCAAAUUCCGCAAAAUGGCUUGAGGCCAUGAAAUCUGAGAUGGGAUCCAUGUAUGAGAACAAAGUAUGGACUUUGGUUGACUUGCCUGAUGAUCGGCAAGCCAUUGAUAAUAAAUGGAUCUUCAAGAGGAAGACGGACACUGAUAGUAGUGUUACUAUCUACAAAGCUAGAAUUGUCGCAAAAGUUUUCGACAAGUUCAAGGUGUUGACUACGAUGAGAGUUUCUCACUCGUAUCUAUGCUUAAGUCUGUCCGAAUCAUGUUAGCAAUUGCCGCAUUUUUAUGAAAUCUGGCAAAUGGAUAAACAAAACUACAUUCCUUAAUGGAUUUAAAGAACAGUUGUAUAUGAUGCAACCAGAAGGUUUUGUCAAUCCUAAAGGUGCUAACAAAAUAUGCAAGCUCCAGCGAUCCAUCUAUGGACUGGUGCAAGCAUCUCGGAGUUGGAAUAUACGCUUUGAUAAGUUGAUCAAAGCAUAUAGUUUUAUACAGACUUGCGGUGAAGCCUGUAUUUACAAGAAAGUGAGUGGGAGCACUACAACAUUUCUGAUAAGUAUAUGUGUAUGACAUAUUGUUAAUCGGAAAUAAUGUAGAAUUAUUCUGCAAAGCAUGAAGGAGUGUUUGAAAGGAAUUUUCCAAAGAAAGACCUCGGCGAAGUUGCUUACAUAUUGAGCAUCAAGAUCUAUAGAGAUAGAUCAAGACGCUUGAUAAGGUUUUUCAAUAAAUACAUACCUUGACAAGAUUUUGAAGUAGUUCAAAAUGGAACAGUCAAAGAAAGAGUUUCUUGCCUAUGUUACAAGGUGUGAAAUUGAGUAAGACUCAAAGCCCGACCACGGCAGAAGAUAGAAAGAGAAUGAAUGUCAUUCCCUAUGCCUUGGUCAUAGGUUCUAUAAAGUAUGCCAUGCUGUGUACCAGAUCUAUUGUAUACCCUAACACUGAGUUUGGCAAGGGAGUACAAUAGUGAUCUAGGAGUAGAUCACUGGACAACGGUCAAAAUUAUCCUUAGUGGAAUAAGGAUAUGUUUCUCGAUUAUGGAAGUGAAAAAAGGUUCGUCGUAAAGGGUUACACCGAUGCAAGUUUUGACACUAAUCUAGAUGAAUCUAAGUCUCAAUCUAGAUACAUAUUGAAAGUGGGAGCAAUUAGCUAGAGUAGCUCCGUGCAGAGCAUUGUUGACAUAAAUAUUUGCAAAAUACUUACGGAUCUGAAUAUAACAGACCCGGUGACUAAAAUUAUCUCACAAGCAAAACAUGAUCACACCUUAGUACUCUUUGGGUGUUAAUCACAUAGCGAUGUGAACUAGAUUACUGACUCUAGUAAACCCUUUGGGUGUUGGUCACAUAUCGAUGUGGAUUAUGGGUGUUAAUCACAUGGUGAUGUGAACUAUUGCUAUUAAAUCACAUGGUGAUGUGAACUAGAUUAUUGACUCUAGUGCAAGUGGGAGAUUGAAGGAAAUAUGCCCUAGAGGCAAUAAUAAAAGUUAUUAUUUCCUUAUAUCAUGAUAAAUGUUUAUUAUUCAUGCUAGAAUUGUAUUAACCGGAAACAUAAUACAUGUGUGAAUACAUAGACAAACAGAGUGUCACUAGUAUGCCUCUACUUGACUAGCUCGUUAAUCAAAGAUGGUUAUGUUUCCUAACCAUGGACAAAGAGUUGUCAUUUGAUUAACGGGAUCACAUCAUUAGUUGAACGAUCUGAUUGACAUGACCCAUUCCAUUAGCUUAACACCCGAUCGUUUAGUAUGUUGCUAUUGCUUUCUUCAUGACUUAUACAUGUUCCUAUGACUAUGAGAUUAUGCAACUCCCGUUUGCCGGAGGAACACUUUGUGUACUACCAAACGUCACAACAUAACUGGGUGAUUAUAAAGGAGCUCUACAGGUGUCUCCAAAGGUACAUGUUGGUUUGGUUUAUUUCGAGAUUAGGAUUUUUCACUCCAAUUGUCGGAGAGGUAUCUUUGGGCCCUCUCGGUAAUGCACAUCACCGAAGCCUUGCAAGCAUUGCAACUAAUGAGUUAGUUGCGAGAUGAUGUAUUACAGAACGAGUAAAGAGACUUGCCGGUAACGAGAUUGAACUAGGUGUGGGAUAUCGACGAUCGAAUCUGGGGCAAGUAACAUACCGAUGACAAAGGGAACAACGUAUGUUGUUAUGCGGUCUGACCGAUAAAAGAUCUUCGUAGAAUAUGUAGGAGCCAAUAUGAGCAUACAGGUUCCGCUAUUGGUUAUUGACCGGAGACGUGUCUCGGUCAUGUCUACAUUGUUCUCGAACCCGUAGGGUCCGCACGCUUAAGGUGACGAUGACAGUUAUAUUAUGAGUUUAUGCAUUUUGAUGUACCGAAGGUUGUUCGGAGUCCCGGAUGUGAUCACGGACAUGACGAGGAGUCUCGAAAUGGUCGAGACAUAAAGAUUGAUAUAUUGGAAGCCUAUGUUUGGAUAUCGGAAGUGUUCCGGGUGAAAUCAGGAUUUUACCGGAGUACCGGGAGGUUACCGAAACCCCCCGGGAGGUAUAUGGGCCUUAGUGGGCCUUAGUGGAAGAAGAGAAGAGGCAGCCAGGGCUGGGCCGCGGGCCCCUCCCCCCCUUGGUCCGAAUUGGACAAGGAGAGGGGGUCGGCCCCCCUUCCUCCUCUCUCUCCUCUUUCCCCCCCUCCACGAAUCCUAUUCCAACUAGGAAAGGGGGGGAGUCCUACUCCUAGAAGGAGUAGGACUCCUCCUGGCGCGCCUCUCCUGGCCGGCCGGCCCCCCUCCCUUGAACCUUUAUAUACGGAGGUAGGGGCACCCCCUAGAGACACAAGUUGAUCCACGUGAUCAUAUUCUUAGCCGUGUGCGGUGCCCCCUUCCACCAUAGUCCUCAAUAAUAUUGUAGCGGUGCUUAGGCGAAGCCCUGCGACAGUAGUACAUCAAGAUCGUCACCACGCCGUCACGCUGACGGAACUCUUCCCCGACACUUUGCUGGAUCGGAGUCCGGGGAUCGUCAUCGAGCUGAACGUGUGCUAGAACUCGGAGGUGCCGUAGUUUCGGUGCUUGACCGGUCGGGCCGUGGAGACGUACGACUACAUCAACCAAACGCUUCCAUUUCGAUCUACAAGGGUACGUAGAUCACACUCUCCCCCUCUCGUUGCUAUGCAUCACCAUGAUCUUGCGUGUGCGUAGGAAAUUUUUUGAAAUUACUACGAAACCCAACAAUAUCCAUUGAUACACUCAAAAAGAAAGAUGUCAAACUCCCAAAAGAGAGAAUGGUUCCAAACAAACCAAGCCCUCUACAAAGUUUCAUGAUGGCACAAAGCACCAAAAAGAAACGGCUUGCCUUCCACAAACACACACUUGAUAAGGAUCACAAGAUGAGUGUUUUAUAGAGAAUACGAUAGCUCCCCCAAGACUAGUGCAUUAUAGAGAAUUUGCAUUUGAAUACAAAAUGCACGAGGUGGGAUCACCGCUUUCACUAUAUCUAGAAAACACUAGACAAGGUCAAGAAAUACACAAGAUCCACAGGUGGUAUGGAAGACAAAGGGAGUUGAUACAAACCUUGGCAAGAGAAAGGGCAAAUAAAAAGAAAAAGCCAAUGUAAAGAUGAUCAAUAGAUUCUACCACAAAAGUGAGUACCAAUUGUCAAAAGACAAGAAGUAAACGGAAAAAAUUCCCGGUGGUAGAUAACAAGGAUAUCCGACAUUAUCUUCACACCAAACAAAAAGCAAAAUGCAACUUGUAGAGCUAACAUGCCACCUAGGAACAAGAUAAUUUACAAUAUCAACUCUAGGUGACAAUAUCUCAAAUGUACACAUUUUCUAGGCUAGUAAUAUACACAUAGCAUAUUACUCCCCCAUAAUGUGAUACCAAUUAAGGAAGAACAAGAGGCAAAUAAAAGGAUCCAACAAGAGAUAAUUAAUGGACUAUUUAGAAUUUGAAUUUCUCAUGAGAAGACAUACCACAUAGCGACUAGAUAAUCUUGUAAUAUCAAUACUAGAUGGUAUUCCUCAUGUACACACAUUUAUAGGAUUGUGAGGUGCACAAAGCACAUCACUCCCCCACAAUGGGAUAUUCCAUUAAUCUCUCACAAGAGCCAACUAAGAUAUGACCAAGAUGCACAAAGGCUCAACUAACGACACACAUGUACAUGAUGUGCAAACCAACACACACAUACUUGAUUGCUCAAGAUAAUCAAGUUGGAAGCACAACAUAUACAAACACAUGCAAGGAACAAAGCCAAACAUGCAAAGGGGCAAGUAAUUUUCAAUGUAAACAAUUUAAGCACGAGUUACCACAAGGAGGAAAAUUGGAUAUAAGAUAGAAACUUGAUAAUCCAAAUGACUUGGCUUGAGACAAUAAGAAUGAUGAAGUCCCCUUAAUUCUUCAUAAUGUAGCCAAGUCUCCAAUGACCUCCAACAUCACCUAUUGAUCAAGUUUGAGCUUGUUGGUCCCCAACCAAGUUGGGUCCUAAGAGGUUAGUCACAAUGGGCUUGGCUACCCAAAUGGUUCUUUGCUUCAAACCACUUUGAGUACCAACAAACUUGGCAACCACAUUGCCAACAUUAUCCUUCCCAAGAGAAUAGACAUCAUCAAUAAUAAUUGGGUUGGAUAAGUUACCACUAGUGCAUGAAGAGGCGAGGUGACCUUUCUCGCGACAUAGGUAGCAACGUCUACUCUUCACUUUCUUCUCACUUGAUUUCUCAACUUGAGAAGCAUAAGCUUGAGUCUUCUUGGGAAGAGGCUUUUCUUCAACUUGAGGUUGAGAAUGAGAGUGAACUUGUGGCCGCUUCCCUUGUUGCUUGUCACUAAUGGGCUUCUUCUUCAAUUGGCAAGAUCUAACAUGAUGCCCUUCUACUUUGCACUUGAAGCAAACAAUCUUGGCCGAAUUCUUGACUUGUUUUUGGCCCUUCUUUUUGUUCACCUUGGACUUCUUCUUCUUGUUGGAGUUGAAUCCAAGUCCAACUUUGUCAUUGGUUUUUUUUUGCACACUCAAGAUAUUGUUGAGUGUGAAUUUCCCUUCAUGACUCUUUUCCAAGUCUUUCUUCAAAGAAGUGACUUGGGCCUUGAGCUCUUUGAUUUCCUCUACAUGGUUAGUCUCAACACAAGUACUAGAGGAAGUAUAAGCUUCAACAUUAGAGCAACAAGGCAAGGAAAGCAAUUCAUCACAAGAUGUACCAAUGUUAUGCAUGGAUGAAUUGCGAGGACCAGCACAAGGCAAUAUAGCAUUUUGACCAAAAGUAGUGCUAGUAUCCACAUGAGGCUCACUAGAUGUUACCUUAGCAAGCAUGGCCUCUUGAGCUAUCUUUAGCACAUUAUGGGAUACUAGAAGAUCAUCAUGAGAGCUUGUGAGCUUUACAUGAUUUUCUUCCAACAUCCCAUAGUUGCUAGAUAGCAACUCAAGUUGAGCCCUUAGCUCAACAUUCUCCAUUAAUAUGGAUGCUUCACAAGAGAUAGAGUUAGUAGCACAAGCAUCAUCAUUAGCAACAAGAGGAGAAGACAACUUGGCAAGCUCUUCUGAAUAUGAAGCUUUAAGUUGAGCAUGAGACUCGGUGAGUUUGAUGAGCUCACUCUUAAUGACCCUUGAGCCAUUUUCGAGGUGCUCAAAGUCCUCAAGGAGUUUAGCAUGCGCAACUUCAAGCUCCUCAUUUUUAGUUUCAAAAUCAUUGGCCACCUCAAGAGCUCUAUCACGAGAUUCCCUCACUCUAGAUAAUUCUAGAGCAAAAGUCUCCUUAAGAGAUUCCUUGGUGGUUUGUUCAAGUUCAAGAGCUUGAGAGAGGUCUGCAAUCUCAUUUGCGUAAUCACGCUCAUGAGCUUCCAUUUUAUCAAUGGUGACCUCAUGCUCCUCUAGAUGAGAUUCCAACUCCUCAAUGUAUUUCUUGCCUUCAAUGGCAAUAGACAUGAUUUCCAUGAAGUUGGAACAAGCAAGUUUAUUUUUGUGAAGAGCUUUAAAAAUCAUUUCCCCCUUAGUUUUUAAGGAGGCAACAUUAUCAUUCUCUUCAUCAUAAUCAACAUCAUCAUCACUCUUGCCAUCAUCAUAAGAUAUAUUGGGAUUCAAAGUGGGAGAUACCUUUGAAGCCUUGGCCAUAAGGCAAAAUGCAAUAGAUGAUGAUGUAGGAUCCGUUGAAGCACCAUUCAAGACCACAUCUUGUUCCAUGGGGUGUUGGGUUUCCUCUACAUUGUUAGCACAACAAUUCGAGGACAUAUAUGCAUUUUUAUCAUGGCAACAAGACAUAGUAAACAUAUCAUCAUGAGAUUUAGUCAAGAAAUUUCUACAUGAUAUGCAAGGACUAUCAACACAAGCAUGUGAAACAUUUGGAGUGCUCGAAGUGUUAAGGCCCAAAGAAGGAGCAUUGCAAUAAGAUAGUGAUGAAGGAUCAUCCACAAUAAACAUACUAUCAUCAUUGCAAUGACCAACACUACUCACCAUAUCAUUACCUUGGGGCAAACCACAUGUAGGUGAAGUAGAAGAAGUUGAGAAGACUAUACGACCAGAGGUGGAGAGAGAACAAUCAUCCCCACAAAUCUUGGACACUCCAUAUUUAUCUUGAAGCUUCGUCCACAACUCAUGAGCAUCCCGGAACGACAUGAGUUGAAAUAUAACUACAUUGCUCAAAGCAUUGAAAAGCACAUUAGAAGCUUGAGCAUUGAGAUAAGAGUUUUUCUCAUCCUCUAAAGAUAAUCUUUGGGGAUCCUUUGGAGGAGAAAAACCCAUAUCUACAAUUCGCUCUAAAUUUGGGUCCAUGACCCUAAAGAGAUUAAGCAUGCGAAUUACCCAAACAUCAAAAUUUGUGCCAUCGAAACUAAGAGUGUCAGAGAAUCCUAAUCCCCUAGUCGACAUCUUUACUCUCUAGGCGGUUAAGCCUAACAAAGAGAGACGAGGCUCUGAUAACAAUUGAAAGAUCAUGGAUGUCGCCUAGAGGGGGGGGGGUGAAUAGGCGUUUUAAAAUAAUUACGGUUUAGGCUUGAACAAAUGCGGAAUAAACCUAGCGGUUAAUUUGCCAAGCACAAAACCUAAAACAACUAGGCUCACCUAUGUGCACCAACAACUUAUGCUAAGCAAGAUAAGCAACUAUGUGAUAGCAAGAUAUAUGACAAGAAACAAUAUGGCUAUCACAAAGUAAAGUGCAUAAGUAAAGGGGCUCGGGUAAGAGAUAACCGAGGCACGCGGAGACGACGAUGUAUCCCGAAGUUCACACCCUUGCGGAUGCUAAUCUCCGUUUGGAGCAGUGUGGAGGCACAAUGCUCCCCAAGAAGCCACUAGAGCCACCGUAAUCUCCUCACGCUCUCGCACAAUGCAAGAUGCCGUGAUUCCACUAAGGGACCCUUGAGGGCGGUCACCGAACCCGUACAAAUGGCAACCCUUGGGGGCGGUCACCGAACCCGUACACUUUGGCAACCCUUGGGGGCGGUCACCGGAACCCGUCAAAUUGCUCGGGGCAAUCUCCACAACCUAAUUGGAGACCCUGACGCUUUCCCGGAGCUUUAGACCACAAUGAUUGAGCUCUGAACACCACCAACCAUCUAGGGCACCCAAGCACCCAAGAGGAACAAGCUCAAGGGUACCAAGCACCCAAGAGUAAUAAGCUUCUCAACUUGUAACUUCCACGUAUCACCAUGGAGAACUCAAACCAAUGCACCAAAUGCAAUGGCAAGGGCACACAGAGUGCCCAAGUCCUUCUCUCUCAAAUCCCAUCGAAGCAACUAAUGCUAGUGAGGAAAAUGAGAGGAAGAACAAGAAAGAGAACACAAAGAACUCCAAGAUCUAGAUCCAAGGGGUUCCCCUCACAUAGAGGAGAAAGUGAUUGGUGGAAAUGUGGAUCUAGAUCUCCUCUCUCUUUUCCCUCAAAAACUAGCAAGAAUCCAUGGAGGGAUUGAGAGUUAGCAAGCUCAAAGAAGGUCAACAAUGGGGGAAGAACACGAGCUCCAAGGAUAAGGUUCAUUGGGGAAGAAGACCCCCUCUAUAGGAGGGGGAAAAUCCAACCGUUAUGUGCUCAGCCCGCACACGAGCGGUACUACCACUUAGGUGGAAGAAACAGGGAAAAGGAGCAACAAAACAUGAACCUUAGGGCGGUAGUACCGCAGGAGACAGCGGUACUACCGCUGGGUUAAGCGGUACUACCGCUCCCUUCGGCGGUACUGCCGCGCAGAACGAAGGGUAAAGGGAAAGAGGGAACCGGGCGGUACUACCGCGGAGGAAGGGCGGUACUGCCGCUAAGGAGCGGUACUGCCGCACUACUGCCGCAGCGAGGUACCGCACAAUCCAACACAGAAAAAGACCCCUCGAAACGACGCGGUAGGGACCUGGUAAGCCAACGGUAGUACUGCUGCGGAGUCACCGCCGGUACUAUCGCUUCGGAGCGGUACUGCCGCUUGUGACCCCUUAGCGGUACUACCGCUGGAUACCACGGUACUACCGCUGGGACCCUGACAAAACCACACUCAAGAAAAGAAGAACUGCCAUAACUUCUGCAUAUGAGCUCCGAAUUGAGCAAACUCAAGCUUGUUGGAAACAAGACGACGAGUAGCAUCAAAACAGCGGCUGGUUAUAGUAAGAAGAGGCAGGGGAGGUAUGCAUAACAAAAAGAGGAGUGAAACCUCCAACCGAGAAGAAUCGGCAAAACCUCCAACAUCGAAAACAUCAUAGAAGAGGCAUGCGAACUCCGUUUUCGAUGAACUCAAGCUUGUCAUCAAGAUGACCAUAAGCUCUAAGAUUCACAAAGAGAACCAAACAAGAACCAAGAAAUAUGAUGCAAGGAUGCAAUGGUUUGAGCUCUCUACGAACGAUACGAUCAAGCUACUCAUCGAGAGCCCCCCUUGAUAGUACGACAAUCGAUCCUAUAACCCGGUCUCCCAACUACCAUCAUGAGACCGGUAAAAUAGAAAACCUACCAAGGGCAAACCUUUGCCUUGAACAUGGUCCAUUUGAGCUAGAUGAUGACGAUCUUGACUCCCUCAAGUUGGACCACCUUUCUUGAUUGGGUUGACUCGAUGAAGACUAGUUGAUUGCUCCCCCAUACUCCACUAUGGGUGAGCCACUCUUCCGCACAUCUUCACAAGUCCAUUGUCACCACAAAGGAUGGCAAGCUUCAAGCAUUUGAUCUCUUCGUGAUGCUCCACUUGAACUUGCACACCGCAACCUUUCUUGAUUGUGUUGACUCAAUGAAGACUAGUUGAUUGCUCCCCCAUACUCCAGUAUGGGUGAGCCACUCUUCCGCACAUCUUCACAAGUCCAUUGUCACCACAAAGGAUGGCAAGCUUCAAGCAUUUGAUCUCUUCGUGAUGCUUCACUUGAACUUGCACACCGCAACCUAACCCCACAAAGAACCCUCACGAAGACCAUGGGUCAGUACACAAAGCGUAAUUGGCAAUGCUUACCAUACCAUGGGAUCACUUGAUCCCUCUCAAUACAUCUUCUACGCUUUGUGGGUUGAUCAGCUUGAUUCACUCUUUGACUUAGUCUUGAUCAACCUCUCACAAGACCAAUCUUUAGGUAAUUCCUUGAAUAGCACCUUGGUCGACACAAACUCUCCUUGAACCCAACACAUGUACUCCAAGAAAAGUCUAUGGACAAAACCUUCAAAUAUAACUCAAGGCAACCAUUAGUCCAUAGAGAUUGUCAUCAAUUACCAAAACCAAACACGGGGGCACCGCAUGUUCUUUCACCGCUGAGGCGCCUCUGGAGGUCGUGGAAGACUGCCGAACGCGCCUUCAGCCACCUCCUCCUGAAGCAGUGCAAGCGCGCAGGCGGUAUCCAGGUCCGGUGGCCUCUGAACGAGCACCACUGCCUGAAUAUCCUUCCUCAGCCCCUCGACAAAACAAGUCAAGAAGUAGAAAGGAUGAAUCGUGUCAGAAUAUGAUGAUAAAUGGUUUAUGAUCAAUUCGAAUUGCUCUAUGUAAUGUGCUACAGAAGAAGUUUGGCGGACAAUAUAGAACUGCCUGAUCAGCGUCUGAUGCCGAUCGCGACCAAACCGGGUAUAGAGUAAGGCAGUAAAAGCAUCCAAUCAAAAUCUGCAAGUCUUUUUUGUAUGGAUUGAAGCCAGAUGGCGGCCGACCCCGAGAAAUUCAGGGCCGCCAUGGGUACCCAAGGUAAGAUGCCAAACAUUUGGAAGUACUACUCGCACAUAGUUUUCCACAAAUUCGGGUUGUCGCCCGAGAACUGCGGAAAUGCAAUGGAUGGGUGGGAUUGACCCAGUCCAGACAGGAGUUGACUAGCAUGAGCAAACGGCGAGAGCGCGGGCGGAGACGCUGAUAGAGAGGAGGACGGACCUGUUGCCGGGGGUGGCGGCGGUGUCUGUAAGAACACCGCGGCGUUCCCCCGUGGCAAAUUGAAGACGCCGUGGCCACUGGGCCCUGGGAUGUCGCUGCCCGCGCCGCCACCAGCCCCCGUGAGGACGCUGGUCGUCGCAGAAGGGCCUGACUUCGGAAGCGUCGCGUGAGGGUCCUCGUCCCUCGUAGAGGACGGCAGUUGCGCCAUCUAGAGCGCCGCCACCGCAUCGCCGAGAUCAGCGACCCGCUUCUCCAGAUCCGGACGCCAAUUGACCAAGUCAUCGAUCUUGGCCGUGGAAGCCUGGAUCUCCGCGAUUGCCUUGUUCUGGGCCUUGAGGGUGUUGUCGAGCCGCUCGAGGAAGGCCUCGAUUGCAGGAUCCAUGGCGACAAGGUGUGUGCGAGCUUGGCGUAGACCUCUAGUCUCGAUGAGCUGCACCAGGAUGCAGCGGAGGGGAAUUACUGGUCUCUGAUACCAGAUGUUAAGGUACUGGUAGAUACUCUCUCGAUUACUAGUAGCAAUCACUUGCGGAUACAAGUUUGGUGGCGAUUACAGGAACGAUACAAGAAUUUCCUUGCUAGGGUUCGACGCGAGACAGGAAGAGGAAAGGGGAAAAGAGCCGAGCCGCCGUUGCCGUGAUCCUUUGGAUAACCCUAGGACGCUGCCGCUCCUCUCCUCAAGUAGCUUCCAGGACGGACUUCAGUUAACCCACGCUGGGCCGGAGACGCGUGGGUUGGGCUUCCUGGGCCGGGCCACACGUGGAGCCGUGGAGACCAGAUCGUUGGUGUUGCCUUGUGGGCCGGCCCUGUCAGGGACGCUGACAAGUUGUGAGGAUGGUCGACAAGCCGUCGGUUCGGUGGUCUCAUUCCACCCGGUACAUCCGACCAUACUAGGUGGUGUACUGUCGACAUUGUGGGAGCCAUAGAACACAUGGCAGCAGGCCAGUACUAGCUCCAUGUCGGUACAUCCCAGUUUGCAGCCGUUUUCUUCUUCCAUCCGAGAAAUAGUUUUGCGGUUGGUUCUUUUCGUCCCUUCAAUCAUCCGGGUGCCGAACAGAGACGCGCCAAUCCGACGGGAACGGGCUGUGGAUUCUGGAGCGCGGGGCACACAGGGUUUUGGAAUUACAGCGGGCGGUGCCCGUGACGUACGUGCAUGUGAGGUGGUGUGGCGCCCUCCUUUCCUGUCUCCUUGCGGCUCAUGCGGGGGUGGCUGGGAAACGCGCACCCAGAUGCUUGUGACUUCGGCUGGAGUGCCCGCCGCCACUGAUGCUUCUGAUUUUUUUUGAAUCUUGAGAGCCCCGAGCAAUUGAUGGAUCCAAGUUGGCUCUAGUCAACCGAUGUAGCAACUAGCAAGAUCCGAUUAUGUAGGCGAUAAGGCGAAAUACUAGUGGAUGGAAUUAUAAGAUUAAGAUGUGAGUAUUUCCAGAAGAUGGUCAAAGGAUCUCUUUAGACUGGUCACAGGGAGGAGUAACUUAAACUAGUGUCAUGCAUAUAUAUUAUGACAGUAGUCUAAGUUACUAUCUUCAUAGUGCAAAAUAACAUAGUAGCAGUGUCAUAGAUGACUUCAUUUAUUAGCUUAUAGAUUCAUCUUGUCUUGGGAAACGUUAUGUUACAGUAAGGCUGCUGCCAAUGCAUGGAUGCUUAUAUGAGGUGCUAAGCACAUUAAAUAACUUAGAGCAUCUUCAGCCGUUGGCCUCCCAGGGGGCGCCUAAAAUCGCCGCCUGGGGUGAGCCGGCGCAAAAAAUCGGCCUGGGGACGAGUUGGUCCCCAGCCGCCCGCCCCAGGCGCGUUCAAAAAAGGCAAAAAUAUAGCAAAGUUCGGCAAAGUUCGGUGAAGUUCGACAUAUAUUACAUAAUAGUCGCGGAUUUUUAUUACAUAAUAUGUCUAAAUUAAAAAACUGGCUGAACGCGGAGUAGUCGCUGUUGUCGCCGCCAUCAUCGCCGCCGGGCUUCUCCUUCUUGACGCGGUCAUCCCUGGUGGACCCCUGACCGGCGUCGCCAACUCGGACUGGUGGCGGCGGCGCGUCGUCGUCGUCGUCGCUAUCCUCGAUGACGAUGACGCCUCCUUCGUCGCGGCCCCCGUGGCGCUGCGCGAAUCGCUGCAGGGUGGCGCAUGAAGGAAAUAUGAUCUAGAGGCAAUAAUAAAGUUAUUAUUUAUUUCCUUAUAUCAUGAAAAUGUUUAUUAUUCAUACUAGAAUUGUAUUAACCGGAAACAUAAUACAUGUGUCAAUACAUAGACAAACAGAGUGUCACUAGUAUGCCUCUACUUGACUAGCUCGUUGAUCAAAGAUGGUUAUGUUUCCUAACCAUAGACAUGAGUUGUCAUUUGAUUAACGGGAUCACAUCAUUAGGAGAAUGAUGUGAUUGACUUGACCCAUUUCGUUAGCUUAGCACUUGAUCGUUUAGUUUGUUGCUAUUGCUUUCUUCAUGACUUAUACAUGUUCCUAUGACUAUGAGAUUAUGCAACUCCCGUUUAUCGGAGGAACACUUUGUGUGUCACCAAACGUCACAACAUAACUGGGUGCUUAUAAAGGUGCUCUACAGGUGUCUCCGAAGGUACUUGUUGGGUUGGCGUAUUUCGAGAUUAGGUUUUGUCACUCUGAUUGUCGGAGAGGUAUCUCUGGGCCCACUCGCUAAUGCACAUCACUAUAAGCCUUGCAAGCAUUGCAGCUAAUGAGUUAGUUGCGGGAUGAUGUAUUAUGGAACGAGUAAAGAGACUUGCCGGUAACGAGAUUGAACUAGGUAUUGAGAUACCGACGAUCGAAUCUCGUGCAAGUAACAUACCGAUGACAAAGGGAACAACGUAUGUUGUUAUGCGGUUUGACCGAUAAAGAUCUUCGUAGAAUAUGUAGGAGCCAAUAUGAGCAUACAGGUUCCGCUAUUGGUUAUUGACCGGAGAUGUGUCUCGGUCAUGUCUACAUAGUUCUCGAACCCGUAGGGUCCGCACGCUUAAAGUUCGAUGACGGUUAUAUUAUGAGUUUAUGUGUUUUGAUGUACCAAAGGUAGUUCGGAGUCCCGGAUAAGAUCGGGGACAUGACGAGGAGUCUCGAAAUGGUAGAGACGUAAAGAUCGAUAUGUUGGACGACUAUAUUCGGACACCGGAAAGGUUCCGAGUGAUUCGGGUAUUUAUCGGAGUACCGGGGAGUUACGGGAAUUCACCGGGGAGUGUAUGGGCCUUAUUGGGCUUUAGGGGAAAGAGAGAGAGGCAGGCCGCGCGCCCCCCAAGGCCUAGUCCGAAUUGGACUAGGGGGAAGGGCUGCGCCCCUUUCUUCCUUCUCUUCUCUUUUCCCUUUCCUUCUCUCCUACUCCUACUACUUGGAAGGGCUCCUAGUUCUACUAGGAAAGGAGGAAUCCUACUCCCGGUGGGAGUAGGACUCCUCUAGGGAGCACCAUAGAGAGGGCCGGCCCCACCCCUCCUCCACUCUUUUAUAUACGUGACCAGGGGGCACCCCAUAGAGACAACAAUUGAUCUCUUGAUCUCUUAGCCGUGUGCGGUGCCCCCUUCCACCAUAAUCCACCUCGAUCAUAUCAUAGCGGUGCUUAGGCGAAGCCCUGCGUCGGUAGAACAUCAUCAUCGUCACCACGCCGUCAUGCUGACAAAACUCUCCCUCAACACUUGGCUGGAUUGGAGUUCGAGGAACGUCAUAGAGUUGAACGUGUGCAGAACUCGGAGGUGCCGUGCGUUCGGUACUUGAUCGGUCGGAUCGUGAAGACGUACGACUACAUUAACCGUGUUGUGCUAACGCUUCCGCUUUCGGUCUACGAGGGUACGUGGACACACUCUCCCCUCUCGUUGCUAUGCAUCACCAUGAUCUUGCGUGUGCAUAGAAAUUUCUUGAAAUUACUACGUUCCACAACAGUGGCAUCCGAGCCUGGUUUUAUGCCUUGAUGUAAUAUGCACGAGUAGAACACAAGUGAGUUGUGGGCGAUAUAAGUCAUACUGCUUACCAGCAUGUCACACUUUGGUUCGGCGGUAUUGUUGGAUGAAGCGGCCCAGACCGACAUUACGCUUACGCUUACGCGAGACUGGUUUUACUGCCGUGCUAUGCACACAGGUGACUAGCGGGUGUCAGUUUCUCCAACUUUAGUUGAACCGAGUGUGGCUAUGCCCGGUCCUUGAGAAGGUUAAAACAACACUAACUUGACAAACUAUCAUUGUGGUUUUGAUGCUUAGGUAAGAACGGUUCUUGCUCAGCGCGUAGCAGCCACGUAAAACUUGCAACAACAAAGUAGAGGACGUCUAACUUGUUUUUGCAGGGCAUGUUGUGAUGUGAUAUGGUCAAGACAUGAUGAGAUAUAAAGUUGUUGUAUAAGAUGAUCAUGUUUUGUUGAAGUUAUCGACAACUGGCAGAAGUCUUAUGGUUGUCUCUUUAUUGCAUAAGAUGCAAGCACCAAAUAAUUGUUUUACUUUAUCGCUAUGCGAUAGCAAUAGUUGCAAGAACAAUAGUUGGCGAGACGACCAUGUGACGACACAUUGAUAUAGAUCAAGAUGAUGGAGAUCAUGGUGUCAUGCCGGUGAUGAUGGAAAUCAUGACGAUGCUUUGGAGAUGGAGAUCAAAGGCACAAGAUGAUGAUGGCCAUAUCAUGUCACAUAUUUUGAUUGCAUGUGAUCUUUAUCUUUUAUGCAUCUUAUUUUGCUUAGUUCGACGGUAGCUUUAUAAGAUGAUCUCUCACUAAUUAUCAAGGUACAAGUGUUCUCCCUGAGUAUGGACCGUUGCGAAAGUUCUUCAUGCUGAGACACCACGUGUUGAUCGGGUGUGAUAGGCUCUACGUUCAAAUACAACGGGUGCAAAACAGUUGCACAUGCGGAAUACUCAGGUUAAACUUGACGAGCCUAGCAUAUAACAGAUAUGGUCUCGGAACACUGAGACCGAAAGGUCGAGCGUGAAUCAUAUAGUAGAUAUGAUCAACAUAGUGAUGUUCACCAUUGAAACUACUCCGUCUCACGUGAUGAUCGGACAUGGUUUAGUUGAUAUGGAUCACGUGAUCACUUAGAGGAUUAGAGGGAUGUCUAUCUAAGUGGAAGUUCUUAAGUAAUAUGAUUAAUUGAACUUAAAUUUAUCAUGAACUUAGUCCUGGUAGUAUUAGCAUAUCUAUGUUGUAGAUCAAUAGCUCGCGUUUAGCUCCCCUGUUUUAUUUUUGAUAUGUUCCUAGAGAAAACUAAGUUGAAAGAUGUUAGUAGCAAUGAUGCGGAUUGGAUCCGUGAUCUGAGGUUUAUCCUCAUUGCUGCACAGAAGAAUUAUGUUCUUGAUGCACCGCUAGGUGACAAACCUAUUGUAGGAGCAGAUGCAGAUGUUAUGAACGUUUGGCUAGCUCAAUAUGAUGACUACUUGAUAGUUUAGUGCACCAUACUUAAACGGCUUAGAAUCGGGACUUCAAAGACGUUUUGAACGUCAUGGACCAUAUGAGAUGUUCCAGGAGUUGAAGUUAAUAUUUCAAGCAAAUACCCGAGUUGAGAGAUAUGAAGUCUCCAACAAGCUCUAUAGCUAAAAGAUGGAGGAGAAUAGCUCAAGCAGUGAGCAUGUGCUCAGAUUGUCUGGGUACUACAAUCGCUUGAAUCAAGUGGGAGUUAAUCUUCCAGAUAAAAUAGUGAUUCACAGAAUUCUCUAGUCAGCAUCACCAAGUUAGUAGAACUUUGUGAUGAACUAUAAUAUGUAAGGGAUAACGGAAACGAUUCCCAAGCUCUUCGUGAUGCUGAAAUCGGCGAAGGUAGAAAUCAAGAAAAGCAUCAAGUAUUGAUGGUAAACAAAACCACUAAUUUCAAGUAAAGGGACAAAGGGAAGAAAGGGGAACUUCAAGAAGAACGGCAAGCAACUUGCUGCUCAAGUGAAAAAAACCCAAGUCUGGACUUAGUCUGAAACUGAGUGCUUCUACUGCAAAGGGACUGGUCACUGGAAGCGGAACUACCCCAAGUAAUUGGAGGAUAAGAAGGAUGGAAAAGUGAACAUAGGUAUAUUUGAUAUACAUGUUAUUGAUGUGUACUUUACUAGUGUUUAUAGCAACCCCUCAGUAUUUGAUACUAGUUCAGUUGCUAAGAAUAGUAACUCGAAACAGGAGUUGCAUAAUGAACAGAGACUAGUUAAAGGUGAAGUGACGAUGUGUAUUGGAAAUGGUUCCAAGAUUGAUAUGAUCAUCAUCGCACACUCCCUAUACUUUCGGAAUUAGUGUUAAACCUAAAAUAAAUGUUAUUUAGUGUUUGCGUUGAGCAUGAAUAUGAUUGGAUCAUGUUUAUUGCAAUACGGUUAUUCAUGUAAGUUAGAGAAUAAUUGUUGUUUUGUUUACAUGAAUAAAACCUUCUAUGGUCAUACACCCAAUGAAAAUGGUUUGUUGGAUCUCGAUCGUGUUGAUACACAUUUUCAUAAUAUCGAAACCAAAAGAUGCAAAGUUAAUAAUGAUAGUGCAACUUAUUUGUGGCACUGCCGUUUAGGUUAUAUUGGUGUAAAGCGCAUAAAGAAAAUCCAUGCUAAUGGGCUUUUGGAAUCACUUGAUUAUGAAUCAGUUGAUGCUUGCGAACCAUGCCUCAUGGGCAAGAUGACUAAGACUCCGUUCUCCGGAACAAUGGAGCGAGCAACAGAUUUUUUGGAAAUCAUACAUACUGAUGUAUGUGGUCCGAUGAAUAUUGAGGCUCGCGGCAGGUAUCCUUAUUUUCCGAUCUUCAUAGAUGAUUUGAGCAGAUAUGAGUAUAUCUACUUGAUGAAACACAAGUCUGAAACAUUUGAAAAGUUCAAAGAAUUUCAGAGUGAAGUGGAGAAUCAUCGUAACAAAAAAUAAAAGUUUCUAUGUUAUAAUCGCAGAAGUAAAAUAUUUGAGUUACGAGUUUGGCCUUCAGUUAAAACAAUGUGAAAUAGUUUCACUACUCACGCCACCUGAAACACCACAGUGUAAUGGUGUGUCCGAACGCCGUAACCGUACUUUAUUAGAUAUGGUGCGAUCUAUGAUGUCUCUUACCAAUUUACCACUAUCGUUUUGGGGUUAUGCAUUAGAGACAACUACAUUCAUGUUAAAUAGGGAACCAUCUAAAUACGUUGAGACGACACCAUAUGAACUAUGGUUUGGCAAGAAACCUAAGCUGUCGUUUCUUAAAGUUUGAGGUUGCAAUGCUUAUGUGAAAAAGUUUCAACCUGAUAAGCUCAAACCCAAAUCGGAGAAGUGCGUCUUUAUAGGAUACCCAAAAGAAAAUAUUGGGUACACCUUCUAUCACAGAUCCGAAGGCAAGUUAUUCAUUGCUGAGAAUGGAUCCUUUCUAGAGAAGGAGUUUCUCUCAAAAGAAGUGAAUGGGAGGAAAAUAGAACUUGAUGAGGUAACUAUACCUGCUCCCUUAUUGGAAAGUAGUUCAUCACAGAAAUAUGUUCCUGUGACUACUACACCAAUUAGUGAGGAAGCUAAUGAUGAUGAUCAUGUAACUUCAGAUCAAGUUACUACCGAACCUUGUAGGUAAAUCAGAGUGAGAUCCGCACCAGAGUAGUACGGUAAUCCUGUUCUGGAGGUCAUGUUACUUGACCAUGACAAACCUACGAACUAUGAGGAAGCAAUGAUGAGCCUAGAUUCGGCGAAAUGGCUUGAGGCCAUGAAAUCCGAAAUGAGAUCCAUGUAUAAGAACAAAGUAUGGACUUUGAUUGACUUGUCCAAAGAUCGGCGAGCCAUUGAGAUUAAAUGGAUCUUCAAGAGGAAGACGAACGCUGAUAGUAGUGUUACUAUCUACAAAGCUAUAAUUGUCGCAAAAGGUUUUCGACAAGUUCAAGGUGUUGACUACGAUGAGAGUUUCUCACUCGUAUCUAUGCUUAAGUCUGUCUGAAUCAUGUUAGCAAUUGCCACAUUUUAUGAAAUCUGGCAAAUGGAUAAACAAAACUACAUUCCUUAAUGGAUUUAUUAAAGAAGAGUUGUAUAUGAUGCAACAAGAAAGUUUUGUCAAUCCUAAAGGUGCUAACAAAAUAUGCAAGCUCCAGCGAUCCAUCUAUGGACCGGUGCAAGCAUCUCGGAGUUGGAAUAUACGCUUUGAUAAGUUGAUCAAAGCAUAGAGUUUUAUACAGACUUGCGGUGAAGCCUGUAUUUACAAGAAAAUGAGUGGGAGCACUACAACAUUUCUGGUAAGUAUAUGUGAAUGACAUAUUGUUGAUCGGAGAUAAUGUAGAAUUAUUCUGCAAAGCAUAAAGGAGUGUUUGAAAGGAGUUUUUCAAAGAAAUACCUCGGUGAAGUUGCUUACAUAUUGAGCAUCAAGAUCUAUAGAGAUAGAUCAAGAUGCUUGAUAAGUUUUUUCAAUGAAUACAUACCUUGAUAAGAUUUUGAAGUAGUUCAAAAUGGAACAGUCAAAGAAAGAGUUCUUGCCUGUGUUACAAGGUGUGAAACUGAGUAAGACUCAAAGCCCGACCACGGCAGAUGAUAGAAAGAGAAUUGAAGUCAUUCUCUAUGCCUUGGCCAUAGGUUCUAUAAAAUAUGCCAUGCUAUGUACCAGAUCUAUUGUAUACCCUACACUGUUUUUGGCAAGGGGUACAAUAGUGAUCUAGGAGUAGAUCACUGGACAGCGGUCAAAAUUAUCCUUAGUGGAAUAAGGAUAUGUUUCUCGAUUAUGGAGAUGACAAAAAGGUUCGUCGUAAAGGGUUACGUCGAUGCAAAUUUUGACACUGAUCCAGAUGACUCUAAAUCUCAAUCUGGAUACAUAUUGAAAGUGGGAGCAAUUAGCUAGAGUAGCUCCGUGCAGAGCAUUGUUGACAUAGAAAUUUGCAAAAUACUUACGGAUCUGAAUGUGGCAGACCCGUUGACUAAACUUCUCUCACAAGCAAAACAUGAUCACACCUUAGUACUCUUUGGGUGUUAAUCACAUAGCGAUGUGAACUAGAUUAAUGACUCUAGUAAACCCUUUGGGUGUUGGUCACAUGUCGAUGUGAACUAUGGGUGUUAAUCACAUGGUGAUGUGAACUAUUGGUAUUAAAUCACAUGGCGAUGUGAAUUAGAUUAUUGACUCUAGUGCAAGUGGGAGACUGAAGGAAAUAUGCCCUAGAGGCAAUAAUAAAGUUAUUAUUUAUUUCCUUAUAUCAUGAUAAAUGUUUAUUAUUCAUGCUAGAAUUGUAUUAACCGGAAACAUAAUACAUGUGUCAAUACAUAGACAAACAGAGUGUCACUAGUAUGCCUCUACUUGACUAGCUCGUUGAUCAAAGAUGGUUAUGUUUCCUAACCAUAGACAUGAGUUGUCAUUUGAUUAACAGGAUCACAUCAUUAGGAGAAUGAUGUGAUUGACUUGACCCAUUUCGUUAGCUUAGCACUUGAUCAUUUAGUUUGUUGCUAUUGCUUUCUUCAUGACUUAUACAUGUUUCUAUGACUAUGAGAUUAUGCAACUUCCGUUUACCGGAGGAACACUUUGUGUGCCACCAAACAUCACAACGUAACUGGGUGAUUAUAAAGGUGCUCUACAGGUGUCUCCGAAGGUACUUCUUAGGUUGGGGUAUUUCGAGAUUAGGAUUUGUCACUCCGAUUGUCGGAGAGGUAUCUCUGGGCCCACUCGGUAAUGCACAUCACUAUAAGCCUUGCAAGCAUUGCAACUAAUGAGUUAGUUGCGGGAUGAUGUAUUAUGGAACGAGUAAAGAGACUUGCCAGUAACGAGAUUAAACCAGGUAUUGAGAUACCGACGAUCGAAUCUCGGGCAAGUAACAUACCGAUGACAAAGGGAACAACAUAUGUUGUUAUGCGGUUUGACUGAUAAAGAUCUUCGUACAAUUUGUAGGAGCCAAUAUGAGCAUUCAAGUUCCGCUAUUGGUUAUUGACCGGAGACGUGUCUCGGUUAUGUCUACAUAGUUCUCGAACCCGUAGGGUCCGCACGCUUAAAGUUCAAUGACGGUUAUAUUAUGAGUUUAUGUGUUUUGAUGUACCGAAGGUAGUUUGGUGUCCCGGAUGAGAUCGGGGACAUGACGAGGAGUCUGGAAAUGGUCGAGACAUAAAGAUCGAUAUAUUGGACGACUAUAUUCGGACACCGGAAAGGUUCCGAGUUAUUCGGGUAUUUAUCGGAGUACCGGGGAGUUACGGGAAUUCGCCGGUGAGUGUAUGGGCCUUAUUGGGCUUUAGGGGAAAGAGAGAGAGGCAGGCUGCGCGCCCCCCAAGGCCUAGUCUGAAUUGGACUAGGGGGAGGGUUGCGCCCCCUCCUUCCUUCUCUUAUCUUUUCCCUUUCCUUCUCUCCUACUCCUACUACUUGGAAGGGCUACUAGUUCUACUAGGAAAGGGGGAAUCCUACUCCUGGUGGGAGUAGGACUCCCCUAGGGCGCACCAUAGAAAGGGCCGGCCCCUUCCCUCCUCCACUCCUUUAUAUACGUGACCAGGGGCACCCCAUAGAGACAACAAUUGAUCUCUUGAUCUCUUAGCCGUGUGCGGUGCCCCCCUCCAUCAUAAUCCACCUCAAUCAUAUCGUAGUGGUGCUUAGGCGAAGCCCUGCAUCGGUAGAACAUCAUCAUCGUCACCACGCCGUCGUGCUGACGAAACUCUCCCUCAACACUCGGCUGGAUCGGAGUUCGAGGGAUGUCAUCGAGUUGAACGUGUGCAGAACUCGGAGGUGUCGUGCGUUCGGUACUUGAUCGGUCGGAUCGUGAAGACGUACGACUACAUCAACUGCGUUUUGCUAACGCUUCCGCUUUCAGUCUACGAGGGUACAUGGACACACUCUCCCCUCUCGUUGCUAUGCAUCACCAUGAUCUUGCGUGUGCGUAGGUAAAUUUUGAAAUUACUACGUUCCCUAACAGUGCACUGGCGCUCCCUCGCCAUCUUCAGGGAGUCCGCGCGCGCCCAUUCCAGGGCCGCGUCAUCGUCGAGCUCGACGUCGCCGCCGUGCUCCGUCUUCACCGCGGGGAGGAGGCCCGGCUCCGUCGUCACCGCCGCGAGCCCCGGCUCCAUCUUGGGCUUGACGAAGCGCGGAGGAGGAGCUGAUGAGGAGGCGCGCCAGCCGCCCUCAUUGAUGACGAUGGCGACGCUGCGAGUGCGCCCCCGAGCGGCGUCUCUGUCGCGGGCUCGGCCUUGACGCCGAGCAGCACCAGAGAGCCGGAGGAGUGCGAAGAAGAGUGUGAUGAGGAGGAAGAAGAGGAGGCGUCGAACCUCCUGGGCAACCAUUACCCGUCGCGUCGGCGGUGAGCCGUGGCUGUGGCGGCCGCCCUCGCCGAGGGGUACGCCAACGGCGGGUGGUUGCCACCCUCGAGGUGCGUCAGCACGCCCUCGAGUGUGCGACCGGGGACGCCCCACCAUAGACGGCGCCCCUUGUUGUUCUUCAUGCUGCCGACCACCGGCGCGCCGUUGGUGGACGCCAGCCGCUGCUGCUGACGGCGUUGGAAGUACACCGCCCAAGCCGCGUGGUUGUCGGCGGCGUACUGGGGGAGGGAGAGCUGGGCGUCGGUAAGGGAGGCGCGCACGACCUCGACCUCGUCGGCGAAAUACGAGGGUUUAGCCAUGGCGUCUGGCAACGGGGGAAUGGGCACUCCCCCGUUGCUGAGCUUCCAGCCCGUCGGCCCGGCGCGCAUGUCCGGCGGCGCCGGGAUGUUCGCCUAGAACAAGAGCCAAGACUCUUGUUCGCGGAGCGAGCGGAGGCCGAAGCCGUUGGCCGCCGCCUCAUCUCCGGGGAAACGCUCAGCCAUCGAGAGAGGGAGGGAGAGCGAGGGCUCGACGGCGGCGCUCGGGAGAGGGGGGGCUCGGCAGCGACUCUCGGGAGAGGCAGAGCUCGACGGCUAGGACUAGGGCUGGUGUGGCCAGAGGCGAGGGAGGCCGUCGGCUUUAUAUUGCCGCGCCGCGCCCGUGUGUACGCGUGCGAGGGAGGGGAGGCGUCGGCGCGCCGUCCCGUGACACGCCGCCCGUGAGGAAUCAAUGGUAAGGCUGACCGGCGGCAGCCUUGCCAUUGAUUCCCGCGGGAAACCGAGGCGUGGGGGGAAGACGACGCGCGGUGUCGCUGACGCGGCGGGCUCGCGGCUCUUUCACGCCAAAACCGCUCGCCCCGGCGUCCCCGAGCCCCCCCCCCCAGCGCGCCGGGUUCGGCCUGGGUCCACCGACGCUAAUUUUGGCCCAGGCCGGCGAAAAUCGGGCUCCUGGGGCGCGACUGGGCUGAUUUUUCUGCGCCGACGCGAAAAAAUCGCCUGGGGAGGCCUUUCUGAGGGCGCGACUGGAGAUGCUCUUAGCAACUAUACUCCCCAAUGCAUAGGUGCUUAGCUUAUGGUUGCUAGGCUUACUUCAUUUAAUGAUUUAGCAAUUAAAGCUCUUGAUGUAUUGGUGGGCUUCCUUUCUUUAAAUGUUUUGCUUAGGUUCACGCGCUUAGCAUUGUUUCUUUCUGAGUCACCACACUCAUCUAUCUCCUCUUAAAUAACUUGCCACAUCAGAUUUUUUGCCUACAUGAAAGGCUUAGCACCUGUACAAGGUGGAAUAUUGGGAGGGGCCUAACAUACCAUGUUACCACCUCUCAUUAACUACUUGCCACAUAAGCAAAAUUUUCUUGAAGUACGCUAUGUUAUUAGCUAAGUUACUCCCACUACGACUAGCCUUAGGCCUCAUUCGGUUUGAAGGAUUUUUAUAGGAAAAACAUGGGAACAAGGAUUCCAGAUAAAAAUUUCCUAUAUAUGCAUUCGGUUUAUAGGAAAUGCGUACAUGAAUUUCGUAGGAAUACUAUUCAUUUCCUAUGCUUUUGGAGGAAACUAUACAUCCACUCAAAACUCAUUUUACGCGUAGGAACGAGGCAAGUCAAUUCCUUAAGGUGAUAAGUGACAUCCUAUCAAAUUCAUAUACUGCUCCAAAUUCCUACGUUUAGAUUUUCUCCAAACCGAAUGAGCCCUAUGUAUGUUGUGCUUUGGAAGCAAGAGCAGCUCCAACCGUUUCCUUAAAAAACUUGGUGGUUUUGCCGGAUGACCAUAAUUUAGAGGAAGUUGUCCGAAAGCAGCUUUUGUCAUUUUUUUGGCAAUUUUCUUUCCCUAUUUUGUUCUUUCAUUUUUUUCAUUAAACUUUUGUAGCUAAUGGCCGAGGGCCUGCAAGUCAAUGGUGGAGCGACGACGUGAGGUUAGUGGCCAGGCGGCAACAGCGACACGUGGCUAGCAGCGCGGUCCUAGUUGUGAGGCAGCGUGAGGCUAGUGCAUCGCGAGGUUGGCGAGGUCAUGGGGCAACAACGCGAUAGCUCGGUCCGGCGGGGCGGCGAUGGCUCAUAAAGUUUCAGUUUUCAGGCGGUUUCUAGCCCUCUAGAACUUUAUGGGAAGAUGAUCUUCCUGUAAACCUGAUGGAGCAUUGGUUUACAUGACCCUCUAAAGUUACAGGUUUACGAGAUCUGUUGGAGGGUGUUCUUUCUUCAACUUCCCGUAAAUGCCAAAUUUUUUUACAUACAUGGGAGCUGUUUGAAACGCUCUAAGGUCGAGUGAAUGUGCCCAAUUGUCGGCUCAUUGUACUUCUCAAGGAAAGAGAGCAUCAAAUGUGGCAGCGUCGUCGUUGUAUUUUUCGUUCUUUCUUAUUCUCCGCGGUAAAGGUUCGACAACACCAAGGGCCUCUUUGAUUCGCCUCUUUGAAUCGCGGGAUUCUAAAGCCGCGGGAAUAGAGAAAACAUAAGAUUGGAUUGUGUUGCUCAUCUCAAUCCUACAUAAUUUUGGGUUGUUUGAUUGUACUAGUAAACGUGUACAUGCAACGCACGUAUAACUAUACAAAAAAUUCCUUAUUCAUCUGAGUUAAUUAGCAGCCAAUAAUUUAAUAAUGCACUAAUACUUUGAUGGUAUGUGAUCAGUACUGUUAAACUUGGCCAUACCAUGAAGCUCUUUUUAUAUCUUAUUAUGUCUCAAUCUUCAAUUUUGCAUAGGUACAAGAAAUAAGGAGUUAGACUGUGACAUUAGAACAAUGGUCAGAUAUAUAGCAGCUAAAAAUAUCAGCAUGAAAUGUCAUGCAGCAACCAGCAACAAAUAUAAGUGUGCACGGAAAUGAAACAUUAUCAUUGGAAUGACAAGAUAGAAAUGAAAACAUCAUCAUCACUUGAACUGAAAAAUUAUAAUAAGCAUGACUUUAUUGCAGUAGUAACAUAGAGUAAAGAGAGAACCAAGUUUGCAUUGAAAUGUGAAGCAGCAAGUCACUGAAAAAACAAUGUGAACAAAACAAAGCAGAGAGGAAAGACCUCCGGUCCGGUGGCUGCGUGUCCCCUGGCUGUGCGAGAUGAGGGGGAGGUGUGAACUGGCGUCCCCGACGACGGCAAGGCGGUUUAGGCAGCGUCUCCUCGACGGCCGGCCAGGUGGUGUAGAGGCAGCGUCCCCAACGGCCGUCAAGGUGGCAUCUCCCCGGCGGUCCACCGGGCGGUGUAGGAGGCGGCGUCCCCGGCGGACGGCCUGCCAGGCGGUGUAGGAGGCGGCGUCCCCGGUGGACGGCCGGCCAGGCGGUGUAGGAGACGGCGUCCCUGGCGGACGGCCGGCCAGGUGGUGUAGGAGGCGGCUUCUGGUCGACGGUGUCGCCGACGGCCGAGGCCAGGCGAGGUGAUGGGUGGGCGGCACGGAGAUGUGAGGGUCGACAGAUCGAGGCGAUGGGGGCGGCUUGUGGGGCGGCUCGAUGAAUGGGAUCGGGGUCGUGAACGUACAGCGGUUUCCCCGUUAGUUUCCUUUCGUGCAAUAGGAAGGGGAUCGGGGAAGGGAAAGGAGUGUUUAGCGCUAAACGUGUUUAGUCACUCAUCAUUAGGACAAUGACAACAGUUGGAUUGAUGCGAACGGGUGGCUGAGAUGUGUUGGAUCUGCUUCUCUCGGUCUUUUUAUAUUGAUAUAAAUAUAGAAAGAACAAAUGAUUCCUUUAAAGAAGUUAGACUAGAUGCUAGAAAUCAUGCGCGAAGUAGUAAAAAAAAUCCUUUUUUUGUGAAACUAGAAAAAAAAAAUCUAAGGAUUCUAACUAUUCAAAAUUUCGAUCAAUUUCUUUGAAUUAAAGGAGCCCUUAGUACGUCUUGCGCCGGUGCGUGUAGGGAUAGUACGUGUUACCCGCAAAAAAAAAAGUACUCCCUUCGUCCGGAAAUACUUAUCGAAAAAAUGCAUAAAAUUGUUAUAUCUAGAACUAAAAUACAUCUAGAUACAUCCAUUUCUCUGACAAGUAUUUCUGAACGAAGGAAGUACGUGUUACCGCCAAAACCCGAAACGGCAGGUGCCCAAGAAGAAACGUUGCUUCAGAGCGGAAAGCAAGUGUGUAGCCGAAGCAUGAUCGAUUCGAGUCCGACUAUGCGCUGUUGCUUCCUACUCCACUUGUUUUGUGUCUUGCGCAAACCGUGAGGGGUGGGGAACGGCGAGACCGUCGACGAACACAGCGCAUGAUGGGCUCAACGGUGCCUCACCCGGGCCGGGGCUGGGGCCGCGUCCGCACGCAGCAGCGUCGGAGGCCCACCGUCGUCGUUUCCAGCCCGCACGGGCCUAGCUUUGAGCAGAUGCGCGCUAGGCCCGUUUGAAACACUUUUGGGCCCAUCAUUUUGAGCCCGAAUUGUUGUUUUUAUUUCCCGGAGCCUACGGGGUUACACACUUUUGAGCCUAAAAAUAGUCGCUGCACUUGUAAAAUCCCAGUACCUGUCUAAAUAAAAGCUUGUAAAAAUCCCAGUACUUUUUUUUGUCGACUUUGUUGUCUGAAAAAAGAGGUCUUUUUUGCCGACCAUGUAGGCCGAACUCGACAGCAUUGACUAGACUGUUGCGUGGGCGUUUUAUUAUGCGUGCGACAUCUUACUGUCCGUGGAUGAACGGAGAGCACGCGAUCUGGUAGCAGGUACUGUAACCACGAGGGCCACAUCAGCGCUGGCAGCCUGCAGUUUGACGUGGACGGGCGCACGGCUUCGAGCCACGAAGCGCAGGCAGGCACAGCCGCUCGUCACGAUCGAUCGGGACGCUCGCAUAUUCUUCCUAGCUUUGCGUUGGCGUGCACACGCAUCGCUGACUCAGCACACACGACGACGGCCUAUCUUUAUUUUUCCUUUUCCCUUUUCGUUGCCCCCUUCCGCUGACCUGAUUUUCACGCUGCCGGUAAUAAUGGUACACAAUUCUUGUUUGAACACAAUAGUGAUACACAAUUGAAAAUAAAAAUGAUGAUAAGCAUGGGACCUCCAUGCGUGAGACGAUUGAAGAAACACUAGCGACGCGUUUGGUUCCGAGAAAAUAGCACAGUUUACGAUUGCAGUGUUUCCUGAAACUGUAGCGGGCGUUUGUUUUGCGUACGAUGUUUUCCGUCGCCGCGUUUUCCGAUACACCGCUUCGUAAAGUUGAAACCGCUCGAACUGAAGUGAAUUGGAAAACAGGACUCUCAGCCCGAACCAAACAAAGAUUGUCUUAGGUAAAAACGAUUGGAAACGGUGCUUUCCGAUACGAGAAAACGAAUACAUCACGGGAACUGAACCAAACGCGUCGUAGGUUUCAGUUGAUUUCAUCACGCCGUUGGACUGAAAUCCAGCUGUUGCCUUUCUUGUUCCUCCUCGGGACAAUGUAUAAUGUUGAUCUUCUUCCUCCUCUCCACUGCAUCGGCUCGGACGAGGUUAUCUCCAAGCCCUCGCCGGUAACACCGCGGCCCCAUCGCCCUCAGGUUUCGUCCAGUCCUACCGUCCGUGAAAUCAAAAAGCCCCCCCUCCCCCUCCACGCGCGCAUCGGUUAACACUUAUCCUCGCCUCCACUGCAAUGUCGUGGACAUCUGCGUUGCCCCUGUCUCCGACGAGGCUUGACCUUGUGAGAGACGUCCCGGCUGACCGCAUCGCCCACAUCUCUUCUCGGGGCUACAGUACUGCUCCACGCGGAGUCGACUGAUCUGAAUCCUAUUUUUUACCUUUCCACACAACUGAUAAAUAGCAAAAACAUGCAAGUUUUUGCAAUACUUUGGUUAGUAUGCACACCCUCUCUAAAUUUAAGCUUCGAUUUUCCGAAUGCACGUAUUUAAUAAACUAUCGUACCUUCAUCGAGUUAGGUCUCGUUUUUUGGUGAGAUACAUACUUCACCAUUUUUUGUGUGGCUAUGACCAAAACUUCAGUCUUUGUAGAUUGGUGAAAAAUUCAUGGUUUAAGAUAUGAGCAUUGCCCUUCUUCUAGGUGGAUCACUGGACCAGGAUGACUAAAAAGUUCUAGCACUUCACACCCAACGAAUGCAGUGUGGCACUCUUGUAGUGGGUGAGACUACAAAAGAAAGACCUACAUGCUAGAGGGUCCUAGACCAGACAAUGGGACAGAAACAACAGUUGUCCAGAAGGUGAAUCAUGAUAUAAUUCUAAUGAAAAGAGUAUAUUGCAUCAAAGGGAGGGUACUCGAUGGUCGAUUCUUAGGGCCCUCUCGGUGUGACACAUGUGACUAUGCCAUGGGGAUGCGAGAACAUUUCAACGAGAAAGAAGAACAAAACCAAUAAUGAGGAGAACAGUAUAAUGAGCAUGUCUAUGACUCAAGAGGACACUAAUACACCUCAGGUUUUGUGAAGUAUUGCGAAGCGAAGGGAAUAUCACAUGAUAACAAAAGUUUACUCGAAUGUCAUUCUUGUACUCAUAGGGAUCAGUAUGGACCUCCAUGUUUCCGCUAUCGGUUAUCGAACAAAGGGGUUUUGUUCAUGUCUAUGUUUACAGAACCUAUAGGGUCACAAGCUUAAAGUAAUCAUGAUCUACUAAGUGUUAGUAGGACAUGAGUAACGAGGAUCUAUUUGUGAAAUAGUUUGAUUAAUAUUCAAAAUAGUUUCGAGAGGAACCAAAAGCGUUUCAGGGUCGCCGGAAGGGUUUCAGAGUUUAUCGGGCAAUACCGGGUAUUAUCGAUAAAUAAUAUAUAUAUAUGUGUGGAAAAUGUUUCUGAAGAUAAUAAAUUAAUAAUAAAAGACUCUAGUAAUUGUUAGAAGACUUUUAUAUUUAAUUAAAUAUCAACGGGCCUUAAAAAGCCAAGUAGUGAAAGGAGAAUUUGGGCCACGGGCCAAUAAGGGAGGCGCCCAGUUUUUCCACGUGGGGAGGUUGAACUGGACUAGGGGAGGGAUUCCUCUCACCUCUAGGCCGGCAUACCAAGGAGGGAUUCCUUCUCUCCUUGUGUUGGCCCCUCCUUCUCCCUCCAACCUGUAUAUACUAGAGGAUUUGGUGCUUUUAGAAAACACAAGUUUUGGAGCUUCCUCUUGUUCUCUAGUUCUAGUUCUAGUUCGUCCUAGUUGAUCAAUUAGAGCUUGACCUAGAUCCUCUAAUCCUCAUAAUUAGAAGCCUGGUAUGGUUCUAGUCUCCUCCCUCUAAUUCUCCAACGAUGAUUAGCUCUGCAUGGCGAACGCUGCCGGAUCAUGAAGACCGUACGCUUGAAACUCAUAGAGAGACCGUGCUUUUGGUAUUCUAUUCGAGGGAUUGUUCAUGGGUGGUUCACGGGAUCGUUCAUCUAUGUUUCGAGGGACUCCAAGUACGAUCUACAUCGACUCGUCUUCUUCCACUGCAACUCGGAGUCGGCAACGAUUGAAUCUAAACCGUCAAUGCAUCUUUAUAUUGUUCUUGGGUGAUCAUAGGGUAAAUUUUUUGUUUUCUACUACGUUUCCCAAUAGGGGAGCGCUGUGGGCCCCACACGCCCCCACCACGAUGCGAGAGGACGCGUGGAGGGGUCGUGUGGGACCCCUAGUGCUUCUUUCCACCGCAUAUGAAUGCCUAUAUUUUUGUUCGCUCCAAAACCCCUAACCAUCGAGAGUUUUUCUGUUUUUGCUGCCGCACCUCUCUGUUCUGUGGCGAUCCAAUCUGGAGGCCUUUUCUAGUAUAGUCUAUUCUGGAGGCCUUCUCUAGUAUUAUGUAGGAGGGAAAAUCAUCAAGGUGGCCAUCUCCAUCAACUUGAAGGUCACCACGACCAUUCGUGAGUUGUUUCCUUUGGACUACGGGUCCAUAACAGUACCUAGAUGGUCUUCUCUCCCUUACUUCUAAAUACAAAGAUCACAUGAGCUGCCAUACACGAUUGUGAUCCAUGUGAUGUAAUAUGUUAGUGUGUUUGUUGUAGCGUGAUGAAUUGUCACUUUAUGGUCAAAUUUAUCCAUGAAUCCUUUUGAGAUCUAUUUGGUUUAUUUGUUGCAUAAUUCUUUUUCACAUAUGCUCUUCGAUCUAUUUGUCUUCCUUUCGCCAAGUUUGAUGAGACUUGCAUUGUGUUGCACUCUUGCAAAUAAUCUAACGCAGUGAUAGAAAAGGCGUGUAUUGUGUUGUUGCCACUAGGGAUAAAACGAUGACUGCACAGUUUUUGUUUGAACACACAGUGAAGACAAUAUAUCAUCUACUUCAUGUCAUCAUACUUAAUGCAAUAAUCUAGUUAUUACUUAAUACUUUAAUAUGCAUGCUUGGAGUAUUAGCUAUAGUUGCAGUUGGAUAACGGUCUAUAGAUGUUUGGAUGUGAUGCUCAUUUGUUAGUUAUGCCAUGUAUAAUCAUAGUUAUAAAAAUGUAUUUUAAUUACGCAACUAUAAUUUGUUCACCAGACCAUGCAAUCUUUUGGCGAGAAGCCACUAGUGAACCUAUGGAUCCCGGUCCAUUCUUGUUUCUAUUUCUUUCAACCUUGAUCGAACACUCCUUUUAAGAUUCUUGUUCUUGUUCUUUUCCGUUGUAAUCAAUCUUCCAUAGACACUUCCAUUUAAUCCUUGUAAUUAGCGAGGCUAGUGAGACUGAGAACCUAGCUAGUUUCGUUUGGGGCCAAGGCAGAUUUGUAUUUGUGUGCGCAUGUACUUGUCGUUGGCUGGGUUGCAAACUCCUAAUGGUUCAAUAAACAUUAAGGUCAUCCACUUUGAGGGAAAAUUGUUGUUUGCUACAAACUCUUGCACUUGGGGGCCCAGCACCUUCCUAGUCUAGAGGAAGAAAUGAUCAUGUGGCUCGCUGGAAAGAGGCACACCAAAAACACUUUGACAAUCAAAUUGAAUAGACAUUCCUUAAAGAAAAUCAUACUAAUUUCAUUGAUGUCAUAUUCACCCGCCAUUUUGGCGAUGAGAGUUAGAACCCCAAAGUUAGACACUUAAUGGACACCAGACCUCUAUAGAAAGCAUUAAAAAUAUGGAAAACUUGCUCGUAUGGAAUAGACAAGAAUUUCUUAUAGAAUAAGUUCAACAUCUAUCUAAAUCAGGCGUGGUGUUAGAUUUGGUUGCUUUCAAAGCCCCCCCCCACCUCUGAUGGAGCAAUUGGUUGUUAAGAAAAUGUAUUUUGCAUCCGAGACUAAGCCGCAACCCUCCCAGGUUGAAGAGGCAACUGAAACCCAUUCUUGGGCCAUCAAUCCAAGGAGCAUGAUGUAGAAAUUGUAUAUGUGGGUUACAUGCUCCUUAGGAUCAUAAAUGAUAUUGUCAUCGUUCCGUAGAAGGUGAAUUAUGCAUCUCUAAUGCCACCCAUUGGCAGCCGCGUGGAUGAAGGUCGUUUAGUGUCCCCUUGGUAGGUCCUGAUAGUAGGAUCCCCUCGGGGUAGGUUAAAUACAAGGACUCAAUCCAUUAGGCAUGGGAUGGCCCAAGACCUAUCGAGAAGCCCACUGGACCGAGCCUUUUCCACGAAGUGCACUCGACUGGGUCAUUGGUGCGCUAUCAAGACAUAUGUUGUGACGCCAUGAACCGAGCAUUACCACAAGAUACUUAAUCAAGAGUAACAACACGAGAUCAAUGAUCCGUUACCACGCCCAAACGAGUCGACCAUUGUAAAACCCUAGCCUUGUUAGCCCUUUAUAAGGCAAGGUCAGGGCGCCCUCACGCGGUAUGCAGACACAAGCACACAAAGACACACUUGUACGAUCUUUGUAUUGAGAAUUCCUCGUACGAGGCCAUACAAAUAUCGAACAUGAGUAGGGUAAUACCUCUUCAACAGUGGGCCUGAACCUGGGUAACCGCCCUCAUAUGAACCCCGUCCUAGAUCAUCUUGUUGUGCUCCCAAAUCCAUGACAAUGUGUAUUGUCGCCAACCCCGUCCUAGAUCAUCUUGUUGUGCUCCCAAAUCCAUAACAAUGUGUAUUGUCGCUAAAUCCCACGACAUGUCUAGUGCCCAUUUUGUUGCAAAAAUAAAAAUAACUCACACUUAAGAGUGUAUUCUGUUUCCCCCUCCUAAAGGCAAUACAUCAACACCCGCCCCAUUUGAAAGGAGAGACUAGGUUGUUUGGCUCUCCAAUCCAAGCAGGGGCAGAGCAUCAUGGGGACCAAACUGGGCCAUGACCCAUGCGUCCCUCUCUAAAGUUAGCACGAAUUUGAUCUAAGAAUCACAGAUGGCCCGAUGAGUAAGUGGCUGACCUGUCCAUGACUUGUUCUUCAAUCUAAUUGACGCUCCACCGCUAUAUUUGGCGGGUUCGAGCCAUUGCCUCUUGAAAAAGAGUGGUUUGACCAAGGCUAGGAUCCCGGAUGACUUAAAAUAAACCUCCGUUCAGAAAUAAGUGACGUGGUUUCACUUGAUAAUUCAAGAGUUUGUGCAACGUGUGCUUAAAUAGAGUUUUUUUUCCUCGCAUCAUCACUUGAGUAGAGUUUUAGCGCAUCUACAAUGCAGAUGCUUAAAACGGGCGCUAGGGUGAUUUUUCUGGCCGUUUCGUCCGAUUCCUGGCAGAGUCCAGGAUUUUGGCUUGCGUGGGCGCAAUUCCUGUCGUCAGGCGCUUGCCCUCUUUUUUUCCACAUACAACGAACUAGGUGGUAGCGGGCGCUAACCUGAUAGCCAGAAUUAGCAUGGAGAUCUCAAGAGAAUCAACACAAACUACGCCCACUACUUUUUUUGCUGCGUUGGGGAGAGCUAACGCUUGCGUACGUCUUUUGAAUUGUGAGGCGUCUAUAGAUUACUAGGAGCGUUGGAGGCAGGGACUCUUAAACGAGCGCUACACGAAAAAACAAUUUCUUUUAAUUGCUUAAGCGCCUCAACAAGCGUUUAGCGUUGAAGAUGCCCUUAUGGUAGACUCUACCUAGAGUUGGCUGAGAUAAGCAAAUUAAUUGUAUCAGCUUUCUCCAUCAAUACCAUAUGCCACGAGAGUCUGUCGAUAAGAAAAUGAAGCAGGCUGCGGUCCCAUACUCAGCCAAUCCGAGCAUGGUCAACUGAUAAAGCACUCUAUUUUACUCGACCCGAUCCCCCAUCAGAGCCGUCGACAAACAAAGAUAAGGAUCCAACGGUCCGAAUGCGUAGCCAAAGCGUACUGCAAUGGCACUAUGCAAGCAUAGCAUACAUCCCCAGGUUCCUCCCGGCUCCACCGGAUGGGGACGGUCGGCACGCCUGCGGGAAAGGGGGACACACCACCCCCACCACAGUGCGCGCGCAGACCCGUCGCAUCCUGCAAAGCCGUGCAAGAAAAACACGUGGAUGCCUUAUCCCCUCGACCCACUCCACGGAGCCUGACUGCCGCCGAGAUGAUAACCAUCACGCCCGUAUUUAUCAUCAUCGUUUUUUAAUUCCUGCUAUUCUAUUCUGCUACGAACUGACUUCUUUAUCCCGUCCCGCGCGCAUCCUCCUCUGCCACGGCUCGUCAUUCAUUCUUAUCCUCCUCCUCCCCCGGUACCUUUAUAGCUUCCGAUCCCCCGCUCCGUCCUCCAAGCCAUCGUCCUGCUAGCACCCGUGAACUCCAGCCAUUCACGCUGCGUCGAUCGUUUGGUUUGGUUUCGUGCGUUGCUGUGAUCGUCUGAUCUGCUCGGGAGAUGGAAGCCUACAUGCUGUUCCCGCGGAGCAAUGGAAAGAGCUGCGAGGAGGAGCAGGAGGAGGACAUCGGCUGCCCGUCCGAGUCCGGGAUGUCGGCGGCCGGCUCCAUGCUGUCGUCGGACGAGGAGCUCGACGACGAUGCCACCUCCAGCUCCGGCUCCUCCGGAUCCACCGACAACUUCCAGAUGUCCUCCCUCAUGGCGCAGCUCCCGCUCAAGUACGUGCUCUGCCCGGACACCGCGGUUCUUUGUAGGCUCGAGCUCGAUCUUGAUUGAAGCUGUGGUCUGACAUGGCGUUCUUUUUCUCUUGGCGCAGGAGGGGUCUGUCCAAGUUCUUCGACGGCAAGUCGCAGUCGUUCGCGUCGCUCGCGGCCGUGGGCGGCCUGGAGGACCUGGCCAAGCCGCCGGGCAAGCGGAUCAAGGCGUCCCGGAGCUGCGAGGUCGGGCUGCAGGACGCGCACCGCCGGCGCUUCGCGCGCCGCAAUGCCGCGGCCUUCAAGAAGGUGUCCAAAGGGCGGCUGUCCGCGCUCGGUAGGGCGCCGGCGCUCCGGCCGCUGACGGCGAGCGCGGCGAGGCCCAAGGGCUUGCCCGUGCGGGCUCCGCUCUUCGUUUAGGAGAUUUCGCCCGCAGAUUAGUCGUGUCGUCGGUUGUGGCGUGCUCGAAGAGCAGUUGGUGCGGUUGUUACGUGGAUUUUGACAUGGUAACUGACCGGAUGGUGGCCGGCUGGUCAAUGGAUGUGUAAAUACAGAAAUGAGAAACAUGCCUUGUUCCGUUUCGAAUGCCAACUUAUGGCUCUCGUUUUGAUGAACUAGUCAAAAAUGUGGCAAAAUGUGAAAUGCUAGUCCUAGAACCAAAUAACCCUUUAGUUUCACCACUCGUCUAGUAAGCAAGUUAGACAUAGUAUCUAUGUUGUUCUUCACAUUAAGGACAACUCUAAUCAAUCUCAAAAGUUAACUCAAACCCCAAUUAACUUCCAAAGCGGGGUCCCAGAACUGUUAACUCCCCCAAAACUCAGUAUAUUGGAAGGUUGGUUUCUUUGAACUACGAAAACGAAUAUAUUUAGGAACCAAAGGAGUAAUCAAGUAAUCAAUCCCUAAAACUUAGCUCCCAAUAUUGUUCUUUUCCAAUUUGUCUCAUUAUUGUAGAUGUAAUCUUAUUUCGACUUCAUUCCAACGACAUACUCCUUUCGUUUCUUUAUAUAAGGUGUAUUUGUCAUUUCUUUUAGUUCCUCGUAAUUCCAGUUUUAGCCCUCUAGAAAAAGAAAAAUAUUUUUUUCCGAUUGUGUGCAUCUCUUUUUAUAGCAAAAGAACGAAAGUCUCUCUCUCGAUUGCAUGUAUCUCUUACUUUUCUGAACAAGUUGAUUUACUUACCACAAGCCAAUAUAUUUGCUAAAGGUAAUUUCGUCCUAGCAUGUAUAUAAUUAUGUGCCUUGGUCAUCGUAUCAAAAAUAAUACACCUUAAAUAACGAAACAGAGGAAGUAUUUAAUAAAACAUUGAUGUUUGGAGGUACGCGUUUCAAUAUUUCAAAUGUCAAUGUACGAGAUAAAAUUCAAAUCACACAUAUUCAUAGAUUACGCUGGAAGCAACAACAUAGUUUAACCACCGGCAAGAACAUAAAAGGGUGAUGUUCAUCGAAAAGAAACGGGAGGAACAUUGAGUGUAGACCAACCACUAGCAUUGUGGUUUCGAGUUCCCCGAAAAUCUCACGACGCGGUUACUCAAAUUAUUUUGCCAUGUCAUCCAAUCGUUAAACAUGCAUGAGCAGGGGCGCUUAUUCUCGCUCCUUCAUCCUGUUCGUCUCUGCCUCGGCGACAAUCCUCAACCUUUCCUCCUAAAGGGAAAGCUUCUUCUCCUCUAUCGCAAGCUUCUUCACCUCGAUUGUCGCCUUCCUCUCCCCGGUAGCUCCCAUCACCUUCGGUCGUUCCUCCUCUAGCAGCGUAAGUCCAUCCAUACACCUUGCCAUCUUAUCUUCCUUAUCAUUGACCAUUAACUGUGUCUUCCUCUGCAACAUUUUAUUUAUCUCCUCUUGUACGCAUCACCCAUGACAUGACCAUUCCUCUUCUCAUUACCUAUCCGGCCUAGAGGUAGGAGUGGGGUUUCUCCCCCUCUCCUUACUUUCAUCCUCUUAGUAGAAGAAGUGCUCAUCACCGUUGCCUCCCAAUCCCCCCUGCCCACUUCUCAUUAUCUCGGAGAAUUUCCCAACAACGCUACAAAGUCAAGGCCUUCUGGCCAUUUCACUUGUCUUUUUUCCUUAAAAAGUGCUAAGAUGUAGGCUUCAUGUUAUUGAGUGGCACACCACUUGUCGGUAUUUUUUCCACUUGCUCAACACAACCCUCUCACUGGCUGCAUAUGUCUUGAAUCAUUGCCCAAUGGUUUGAGGGUGAGGAUUUUGUGAGGUUGGACUUAAUGCACGCCGAUAGUACCCAUCAAUUCAUCUUCAAAAUGUUUAUUUGCUCUUGUUUGUGCAUGUAGCCGCAUCAAGAAACAAAUUCAUCAUGGCAUAACACACUGUUAUGUCCUCCUCCACAUUGUAAUUGCUCAUUCUUCCCAUCUUCUUGUUUGUGGUUUGGCUCAGGAUCUCAAAGUCAUCUUCCUCACUUGUUCUAUCACCAGUGCCUCCAUCUCGAAGUUGAGGUCAUGAAUGCCAACUAGAUCCACUAGCGCCGACUCACUAACUUUUUACCUAAACAUAUCAACUGCCACAUCAUGUGCAAAGCCCUGCUCAUAGGGGGGGGGGGUCAAUGUACGGGUCAACGCAAGCGAGAGCAUCAUUUAGGGCGACAUGUGCUUUCCUUUUCCUCUAUGCUUCUUCCUCUUCAACGGUCAUCUCGUCGUCCCAUUUUUUUAGCAUGAUUGUGUUGUUCCUCCUCUUGUUCGCCCCAGGGACCGGUUGAAUAUCAUGUUGACCCUUGGUGGGCACAUCUCUGGUGGGAGCGAUGGACAUGCGCAUGAUGCCUAGUUGGUGUCGCUUGACCAUGGCCACCUCAACGGGCACAUCCUUUUCCGGGGUUGUCAGGGUUGGGUAAGUAGGGGAAACAAUGUUGAGGUCAUGGGGAGGCUACAUACUCCAUUCCCUAAAAAUGGACGGAGGGUUGGUAGCGAUUAAUUUUCCCUAAAAUUUCCUAUGUGCCCGUUUUGAUAGGAUUGGGACGGUUAUUGACGCUCAUGCUUUCCGCGCAAUAUUUUGGGAGGGGGUAUGUUGCUUUGGGUUCUCCCAAUAUUUUUGGGGACUUAAAGGCGUUUCAAGGAUUAAAGUGCGUUAAUUUCCAAUAAUGAUAGUCUUUUUUAAAGUUGUGAUUUUAAAAUUUGGUUUGAGUUGUCCUAAGCAAAGAUUAUCCCGGACUCUCGACCAUUAUUUUGAUCUCUUUUCUUUUGUUGGCAACGAGGGGUGACAAAAUUCUAGAUGUAAACAAUUUGAUCUUUGUCCUUACUUUGUCAUUGUUGUCGUUGGUUCUUCAAGUAUGUUCUUAGUGAAAGUGGGGUUUCUCAGGUUGUGGAUGUGCUAUGCCUUUUCACACAAUGAUCCAUUCAAUGAGUGACACAAACUAAGACCAGAGAGGGCCAUGGUGUCGCCCGAGUGCUACCCCUUUGUGACCCUUUUGUUAUAUGGCAUGCUGGAUUGAUGAUGGUGGAUGGCCAUGUAUGUACACAUACAAGGACAAACAAGUGUACACCAUCUAAUUUUCUUGCAUUCACUUUCAUCAAUUCCCCAUUAUAUUUAUCAAAUUUCAUAGCAAAGAUUCUUCUGACAAAUAAUAGCAAAUAAGUACCAAUAGAGCACCGAGCAUGUGUAUAGUCAUUUUUUGAUACAAUAUUUAACAAAUUAGCCAUCUAGUAAUGCAAGAUUCUCUCCUGAAUCGCGUCGUUAACAUACUGAAAGGACAUCUUGCCCCUAAGGAGGAUUUUAGUGUUAAUGACAUUAUGUUUAGAAAAUUAAGUACGUUUUGAGUGCUUACACAUGACACACAUUAUUUGAAAUGAAACAUAAAGUUCUUUGGUGCCCCUAUAAGCAAAAAACGAUAAAAGAAGACGACACAUCAGUUAAAACCAACAAAGGGUCAAUCUGCUGACGCCCACUAAGCCGACAUAACAAUGAAAAUCGUCAUCAAUCCAAUAGGUUCUCCUCGCCACCAGAAAGCAGGGGAUGCGACCUACCAGAUGAUAGCCUUGGAGGCAGGAGCUUGGACCUUGUCUCGCGGUUGAGCGCCCCACACCACGACACACACAUGGGGUAGACAAUGCCUUACUCGGUGUCAUGCUGGUGAGGUGCUGCCGAUGGCAAGCUAGUUAUCUUUCAGGAUGUUGGACGACAGCACAUGCCUGUAUGCUAGUUAGUUUUCACAUCAGUUUAAAUGCAUGAAUUUUGAUGUGCUAGACUAUUCAUCAAUUUUUCAAGUUAGGUUGCGCAAUCUAUACUAGUAGUGUCUGAACUAAAGCAAGUAAAGGAAAAAAAUACCAACUUGACAAAGAACGUGAACGUGAGCAAUGACAACCGGAGAGGGCGAGGGGAGGGGAUUCAAGAACAACCCACUUCGACACCUCAUGCACUCUACAUUCAUACUAGUAAAAGCUAAUCUAGAAAAUUGUAUUCUACUUAUAUUAUCUCUCUAAGAUAUUUGUUAGACUUGUGUAAUCGUAGCCCUUUAUUAGUAAAUCUGUAGGUACAAACACAUAUACAAUGCAUUCCAUAUGUGGAUGUGAUCGUGCCAUCAUUUUAACUUGUUUAGAUUUAAUUGAAUUUAGUUCAGCAAAAUAUUCCAAACAAAAGUUUGAGAGAGAAAUACCAAUUCCGUGCAAAAACAUGGAUAUUUGGCUUCUACAGUAGUAAGCUAUCAUAUUUUAUAUUACUAACACUAUACGUGUUUACAAAACGGUGGAUACAAUAAAAUCAAUAGUCAUGGUUUUAUCGCAAAUAUUGUAUUAAAAAUUAGUUAAGACCUAGUUACAAUGAGUUGUGCAAAGGUAAAAAAGCUUAGUAUAAAUAUGUGGCAAUCAUUUAACCAGAUUCAUCAUGGGACCAACAAUUUAGAAAACAAUGAUAAAUUAUCCAACAUGUUGCGUGAAUUUCAUGAUCAAAUUUGUAACAACAAUCUGCAUGUGGCAGUUGAUGGCAAUCACGAUGAACUAGAGGGAUUCAAACAAGUAAGACAUUUGAUUAGUAGAAUCUCUGACAUAUUUAGGUCAUGUUGUAUACUCAUUUAUUCCAAGUCUCUAAUAUAUGUGGGUUAUAGGCGAUGCAAUUUUCGCUACAUAUCUAAAACAAAAUCUCCAAUAUAUGUGGGUUACAUGAGAUGCAAUUUUUGCUACAUGUCUAAAACAAAAUGAUACACCUCGUUAUUAUGUUAAAUUUAAGGUUAUAACCAAAAAAGUGGAUGUCACUAUAAAAUGUGUAUGUAUAAAUAUAUAAAUACACAACGUGAAACACGUUGUACAUCAUCUAUAUUUAUUGUAGUUUAGCUUCGUCAAGCUUGUUAAAUUCAUUCAUACCAUGGAUAAUCUUCUAGACACCUUCAGAUGGGUAACCUUCCUUCUUUAGCUACCCAAUAUUCAUCAAGUUUAGUCGCCAAUGCAUUGAUGUAUUUCCUUCACUUGUUGCUAAUGCUGUUGGUUUUCACACGUAUGCUCCAUGCAGAGCCAAAGUUUUUUAGAGUGGUGGUCGAGCAUCUUUCAUCACAUUUUUCAGUAUAUUUCACGUUGGAAUGGCGUGCUAGUUAUGAGAUGUGCAUAGAGCAAAGAGGGCUAGUGCCAUAUGGUCAAUGGUGGAUCGUUCAAUCUUUGCAUUAUUGUACCUAAACUAUUUUUUGGGUUGUUCUUGGAUUAAAAGCCUAAACUGCAACAAUGUCUCCUGAAAACAACAAUAUAAAAAAUAAUCUUUAUUUAGUGUAAAAAGUUACCAAUAUAUUUUCAUUAUAUAUCUGGCAAUGCCAAUGCCCAAGUGUAUCUCUUUCGUGAAGUCACCAUCCUCCCCUGAAGGGUUGUUGUUUAUCUAUUUUAUUACUAUUUAAGUGGUGCUAGUUAUAGGAGUACCAUACUGUUGGGCUACCAACAGCGUGUUCAGGGUAACCACAAUUUGGUAUAUGAUGCUAUUUUGUUAGCCAAUUUGGAAAUUGAUGUAUUUAGUUGUUAGAUGAACAAAAUAUCUCGCGCUUAAAUCAAAAUGUAGGUCCCUAUCAAUGUGCUUUCCAUUGAAAAAAACAAGCGAGUGUCGACAGAUUGUCUAUAAACAAUUAAAUUUUUGAGCAAGAUAUAGAUCUAACGGAAGUGACUUCAACAUCUCUCACACCUAUCUUUUCGUGGGACGUCACAUUAAGGUCAUUAUGUGCCUCCCGACCAACCCCAACCCCUCCUUAUUUUGUCACCUUUAGUAACUGUUGAAUCAUCCAUGGUUGCAUUUGUCACCACCUUCUUCACAUGUUCAAUGUUUUCAGGGCCUAUUAAUCCACCUAUGCCUUCGUUGGCCAACUACCUCUGCUUCCACCUUCCACUACAUAAUAGCUAUAUCAUUGUCUCCUCUCGCGUGUCAUCAACGAGCCCAGUUGUUGUCAUGCCAUGCCCACCACUGGUGCAUUGAUGUGUCGCAUCACCACCCAACCCUAAGCAAUUGCCAAGGAGUGUAACCGUAUGGACCGUAAUUUUCUACUCUCGCACAAGCGAACGAUGCCACCCUGACCCUAACCGAUGCACAUCAAUGAUGACUUCUCCAUGGGCCACCCUCUAUUCUAUUAUUGUUUGCUGCAACAAAAGACACGAGGACCAGUGGCCUCACCUCAACCCACCUUGUGCUUUGUCAUCGUUCACUUCUACCACAUGGCAUGUGGAUGUAGGUCUAUCUCAGAAAGAGAGGUGUUUUGGUAUCCGGGUACCUGAGAUCUAUUCAAUUUCAAAAAUAAUAACAAAAUCAUUUGCAAUGUUCCAGACAAAUUUGAAAACAAUCUGACAUGUACAUCUAAGUGUGAUCUAUAUACACAUUGUCAUUAAUAAAUGUUUCCAUUUGCAGGUUUCACAAGAAAAACAUUUUUUUGGAUAAAUGACGCUUUUAUUAUCUGAAAUUGUAACAUCAAGCGGAUACAAAGCAUUAUGAGUAACACCCGGACCCUGCAUAAUUAGGAUGCACACAACCAAACCUCAAAAUUGUGUCAAUAGGAAAUAAAACAAAACCGACAAAUCGGCAACAAUAGUGUCCUAUAGACCGACACUAUGCCUAUGUCGAAGGUGGUGGUGGAUCUAUGAGGAGGUUAUCCUGCCACCCAUGUUGGGAAAAUACCUCCGUAGCCACCUGCUCCAAUCGCGUACAUCCCGCCUUGAACAACGGUUGGUACUCCGCUCGUUAUAGCGUAGACCACACAUGAAAUGAUUGCGUACACUGGAAAAUAACCUGCAGAGGAGAAGCAUUUUUGUCACUAAAACCAAUAUCAUUUCUACAUAGGCAAAUCGACCAACUUAAGGCAUACGCUCCCACCCUUAUUAACGUUUUGAAUCUAUUUGAAAUACGUCCAACCAAUGACCAAAAAUAUUGGAACACUUGUGAGCGGGUACAAAUUUAAUGCUAUUUGGAUAACUGACCGCGUAGAACAUGCAAAAACAACACUUCUUACUCCCUUUCUAGUUGCUCGUGCGAGAUUGUCUUUGGUUAGCACAACCCCCUUACAAAGAUACCACAUGAAGAUUUUAACCUUUAGUGGGAUCUUUGACUUUCAGAUUUUGUUUGUCAUUACUCACUGGUACCUCAGAAUGCGUGAGUGCAUGGUGCAUAGAGUCUACUGUGAAAGAUAUUGAUGUUGUAAGGUUCAAGCUAAACACAUCCCGACCUUGUGUCAGGUUAAUUGAAUCCAUUUGGGAUAAAAUAUUAUGCCAUGACAUAAGAUGGUUGAAAGAUCAUGAUGUCGCCUAGAGGGGGGGGGGUUGAAUAGGCACUUUAAAAUAAGGGUUUUUAUCAGUUAUGCCACCGGUUGUGUCCCACUACUCAGUUUUGCCACUAGAAAUUUCAACUGCUCAAGAAUGCCAUCGCUUCAUUAGACACAUGCUCAAAAAUGCCACUAAACACCAUUAUUGUGAUCUCAAAUCUCUUUUGCCAUGUUAUAAUGACAUAAAUACCUAUGAACCAACAUGCCAGCAGCGUUCUUAUUUUCCUACAAUAAAGUAUGGAGCCCACUUGAUCCCAACAACGUUCUUAUUUUCCUGUAAAAUUAUUCGCUUGGUUACUCCUGGCAAGUGGGGCCACACAUAUCAUUGUGAGAUAGAGAGAACUGACAUGUGGGUCUAGUCUUAUUUUUGUCAUAGAACAUGGUCAACGGGUUUGACGUAAAAAUAACAAUGUCUAAUGACAUUUUUGAGCAAACAUCUAACAUAACAAUGGCAUUUUUUAGAUAUCUAAUGGCAUUUUUGAGCAAGCAUCUCAUGGAUUGAUGGCAUUUUUGAGCAGUUGUAACUUCCAAUGGCAAAACUGAGUAGUGGGACACAACUAGUGGCAUAAAUGAUAAAAACCCUUAAAAUAAUUAUGGUUUAGGCUUGAACAAACACGGAAUAAACCUAGCGGUUAAUUUGUCAAGCACAAAACCUAAAACAACUAGGCUCAUCUAUGUGCACCGACAACUUAUGCUAAGCAAAAUAAACAACUAAAUGAUAAAAAGAUAUACGGCAAGAAACAAUAUGGCUAUCACAAAAUAAAGUGCAUAAGUAAAGGGCUCGGGUAAGAGAUAACUGAGGCACGCGGAGACGACGAUGUGUCCCGAAGUUCACACCCUUGCGGAUGCUAAUCUCCGAUUAGAGCGGUGUGGAGGAACAAUGCUCCCCAAGAAGCCACUAGGGCCACUGUAAUCUCCUCACGUCCUCGCAUAAUGCAAGAUGUCGUGAUUCCACUAAGGGACCCUUGAGGGCGGUCACCGAACCCGUACAAAUGGCAACCCUUGGGGGCGGUCACCGAACCCGUACACUUUGGCAACCCUUGGGGGCGGUCACCGAACCCGUACACUUUGGCAACCCUUGGGGGCGGUCACCGGAACCCGUCAAAUUGCUCGGGGUGAUCUCCACAACUUAAUUGGAGACCCCGACGCUUGCCCAGAGCUUUACACCACAAUGAUUGAGCUCCGAACACCACCAACCGUCUAGGGCACCCAAGCACCCAAGAGGAAAAAGCUCAAGGGUACCAAGCACCCAAGAGUAAUAAGCUACUCAACUUGUAACUGUAACACCCAUGAUGCGGCUAUAUCUCCCACGUGUCGGGGCACGACUUAGAGGCAUAGCCGCAUGGUAGGUUUGUCGCAAGAGGGGUAAUCUUCACACAAUCCCAUGUACUGAAUAAUAAAGGGGUAAAGAGUUGGCUUACAAUCGCCACUUUACACAAAUACAAGUUAAACAUACAUCAACCAGAAUACAAUCAAGGUCCGACUACGGAACCAAAAUAAAAGAAGACAACCCCAAAUGCUAGAUCCCCAAUCGUCCCAACUGGGCUCCACUACUGAUCAAAAGGAAACAAUACAAAACAAUGAACAAGGACUUCAUCGAGCUCCCACUUGAGCUGGGUUGCGUCAUCUGCACUGGUAUCAUCGGCACCUGCAACUGUUUGGGAGUAUCUAUGAGCCACGAGGACUCAGCAAUCUCACACCCGCGAGAUCAAGACUAUUUAAGCUUAUGGGUAGGAAAGGGUAGUGAGGUGGAGCUGCAGCAAGCACUAAGCAUAUAUGGUGGCUAACAUAUGCAAAUAAGAGAGAGAAGAGAAGCAAUGCACAGUCGUGAAGCUAGAAGUGAUCAAGUGAUCCUAAAACUACUUACGUUCAAGCAUAACACAAGAACCGUGUUCACUUCCCGGACUCGGCCAGAAAGAGACCAUCACAGCUACACACACGGUUGAUGCAUUUUAAUUAAGUUAAGUGUCAAAUUUUCUACAAACGAAUAUUAACAAAUUCCCAUCUGCCCAUAACCGCAGGCACGGCUUUCGAAAGUUCAAAACCUGCAGGGGUGUCCCAACUUAGCCCAUCACAAGCUCUCACGGUCAACGAAGGAUAUUCCUUCUCCUAGGAAGACCCGAUCAGACUCGGAAUCCCGGUUACAAGACAUUUCAACAAUGGUAAAACAAGACCAGCAAAGCCACCCGAUGUGCCGACAUCCUGAUAGGAGCUACACAUACCUCGUUCUCAGGGCAACACCGGAUUGUCCAAACUUCCGGUAGGCCAGCCCAGAGUUGCCCCUGGUGGCCACCGGCGACUGACAGGUUCGGACCAACACUUAGACAAGCACUGACCCGAGGGNNNNNNNNNNNNNNNNNNNNNNNNNNNNNNNNNNNNNNNNNNNNNNNNNNNNNNNNNNNNNNNNNNNNNNNNNNNNNNNNNNNNNNNNNNNNNNNNNNNNNNNNNNNNNNNNNNNNNNNNNNNNNNNNNNNNNNNNNNNNNNNNNNNNNNNNNNNNNNNNNNNNNNNNNNNNNNNNNNNNNNNNNNNNNNNNNNNNNNNNNNNNNNNNNNNNNNNNNNNNNNNNNNNNNNNNNNNNNNNNNNNNNNNNNNNNNNNNNNNNNNNNNNNNNNNNNNNNNNNNNNNNNNNNNNNNNNNNNNNNNNNNNNNNNNNNNNNNNNNNNNNNNNNNNNNNNNNNAGGAGCGCGACUCCCAAGGGAAAAGCAUAGGUGGUGGUGAGGCAAAUGGUAAAACCAAGGUUGGGCCUUGCUGGAGGAGUUUUAUUCAAAGCGAACUGUCAAGGGGUCCCCAUAACACCCAACCAUGUAAGGAACGCAAAAUCAAGGAACAUAACACCGGUAUGACGGAAACUAGGGCGACAAAAGUGGAACAAAACACCAGGCAUAAGGCCGAGCCUUCCACCUUUACCAAGUAUAUAGAAGCAUUAAAAUAAAUAAGAUGUAUUGUGAUAUCCCAACAUAUCCAUGUUUCCAAAAAGAAACAAACUUCAUCUUCACCUGCAACUAGCAACACUAUAAGAGGGGCUGAGCAAAGCGGUAACAUAGCCAAACAACGGUUUGCUAGGAAAGGUGGGUUAGAGGCUUGACAUGGCAAUAUGGGAGGCAUGAUAUAGCAAGUGGUAGGCAUCAUGUCAUAGCAAUAGAGCGAAUAACUAGCAAGCAAAGAUAGAAGUGAUUUCGAGGGUUUGGUCAUCUUGCCUGAGAUCCCGCAAGGAAGAAGAACGAGUCCAUGAAGAAUACAAAUGGACGUAGUCGAACGAAUCCUCACAAACACGAUGUUAUCGGAACCAACCCGAAGAAGCAACACCGGAAAGAAGCAAACAACAUAGUAAAUAACCAUCACAUAAACAUGGCAUGAUGCACAACCAAGUAUGAUGCAUGUCCCGUUUAAUGAGGCGUGGCAUGGAAAAAUGCAUAAACAAUCCUAUAAAUUAAGUGGAGCUCAAUAUGCAACUCUGUUGCAUAUUAACGAAACACCACGUGACUUAUUUAGUUCUCUCUCAUUUAGGUACCCAACAAUAUUAAAUUUUGAUUAACAUGGCAAGGGGUGAAGCACAAUAAAACUACUUAACUAUGCAAGUUUAAAUGAGGCCGGAUAUAACAAACAACAAAUCCGGAAAAUCCGCAUAUGCAUAUUUCAAAGUUGGUACUGUUCUGCCCUAUACACAAUUUUAGAGUUAUUAAACAUGCAAAGAAAAGCCACCAUGUUAAACUAGGCAUUUUUCUACCCCAUUUACAUAUAAAGUUUAUUAAAUUUGGAGCUACGGUUAUUUAGUUAUGAAAUAAAUCAUUUUAACAUGUCAUAGGAGCAAAUUUAACCAAACAACAUUUUAAACAUAUUGAACAUGCAUGAAAGUUGGAUAUUAUGAAACUAGAUGAAAUUCUAGUCAAGUUACAUAUAUAAUUUAUUUAGAUCCGAUGCACGGUUGGUGAGUUAUGAUAUGCAUGAUUUAGGGGGACUAUUCUAUAAAACUGGUGGUCUCAGGAAAAUUAGGAAAAUCGCGGAACAGGGAAAAAACCCUAUUGGGCCGAAUCUGAAGCAAGCUGGGUCUACAGAAAAAAACAACGGAGGCUCUGCUGGGGCCUCACCAUGGGCUUCGGCCCAGAUUUGCGAAGCAGCUGGUCUGCGGCUGAGGCGCGAUGCGGGCAGGCUGCGGAGGAGGCUGGGCCCUCCUGGCGCUGGUUGGGCCUGCAGUCAACGCGUCGAGCGGGGCAGGCGAGCUGCUCUGCUCGUCUCUGAAGAAAAGCGGCAGCGACAGGUUCAGAGCGACGCCGGUCGGGAACGAGCAAGGGUGGCGGAGGUGAUGGCUCGCCGGCGUCGGGGCUAGAGGCGGCCAGGUGCUGCAUCCUCCGGCGACGGGGAUGACGCCGAAGCAGUGGAGGCGAGCCGAAUUGGGCGUCGGGGCCCCAUCUCCGGCGAUGGUGGCGGCCGUUGGUGCUCCUAGAUAAAGAAAAACGAAAGGGAUGAGAGAUAGUAGGGAAGACGAGUAGGAGAAGGUCGGGAGGAGGAGGCACGGCGACCUGCAGUGCUCCUGCGUCGCGCUCGCCGGCACGGCGGAGGAGGAGCGGUGACGCGGUGCGCGACGUAAAGACGAGCAGGGGUGAUGGAGCCCUGCAGCAGGGGAAGAAGAAGAAGGCUCGGCAGCGGCAUUAACGGGAAACAGGUCAGGUGGGGUCACGGACUUGACGGAUCCGACCGUGGGACAACGGUUCCCGACAGCGGCGAGGAGAACUCGAGCUCGGGGAGGCAUCCAUGGCGUGCCCCUGCUCAUCGCCGGCGGGGACGGCUGGCUCCAUGGAAGUGCUUGAGAAGAAGCAGAGGAGGCUGUGGACUCUGGCUGCUGGUCGAGAUCGAGUUUGCUCAAUCUGAAAACCGCCCGGGACGGGUGCUUCUCGGAGAAGGAGGAGCUUGGGCAGUGGUUGGCUGCGGUUUGGAUCGAGGAAGAUCGAGCGAGGGGAUUUGGCCAGGUGGGAUCUGGAUCGAUCCCGAGGAAGGAGGAGACUUGUUCGAGCGCUUCGGUUGGGCUGGUGGGGAGACCGAGGAGAAGGUGGAGGCUCUGGUUGGUUCGCUGGUGAUCCCGAGGGGAACCAGAGAGUGGCGGCGGAGGGAUUUGGAGGAUGGGACAGGAUAGGCUAGGGUUUGACUGAUAUUUAUAUCAGAUGAGUUUAGGUUAGGGGCUAACUCGUCCCUCCGAUCGAAACCGGACAGUCGAGAAAAAUAGGCUAGGGAGUCUGAUAAAUAAAACGAAGAUGAUUUAUAGAUGUCCGGGGAUGAUCUGGACCCGUUGCUAACGACAGAGCGGGUCGGGCCUGGGACAGUUUCGGACAUGGACGAUGGGUCGAUGCACUGUGCAAAGAGGGAGUAGGUGGUUUGACAAGAGGGAAUCGCUAACCCAGUUGGUCUCGAAACGGUCAACGAAGGUGAGGGGUUUGAUGGGCUCAGAAAAGAGAGAGAAGAGAGAUGCCCGACAGCAGUUUCGGAGACCGAAACAUCCGACGAAAAACCGGCUACUAUUGCCGCUAUAGUUUAACGGCUGAUGUGUCAAACAGACUCCGAAUGUGAUGAAACUUGGCAGGUGGUCUACUGAAAACAUAACAACACCGGAAGACAACUUUCAUCCCAUUCUGAGAACAUUUUCCGGUCACUUAUAAAAUACUAUAUCGGACAUGCCACGGGCGCGUGCGAGUGUGUCUGGACUCAGAACGGACAACGGAAGGAACGAGGAGACCGGGAUGGAUGCAAGUUUUGAAAACAUGAUGAUGCAAUGCACAUGAUGACAUGACAAGAUGCAACACGCAAGCGAAUGACAUGUCAACAACACCGAAUAACUGGAAGACACUUGGCGCGACGGUCUUGGGGCAUCACAGUAACUUCCUCGUAUCACCAUGGAGAACUCAAACCAAUGCACCAAAUGCAAUGGCAAGGGCACACGGAGUGCCCAAGUCCUUCUCUCCCAAAUCCCACCAAAGCAACUAAUGCUAGGGAGGGAAAUGAGAGGAAGAACAAGAAGGAGAACACCAAGAACUCCAAGAUCUGGAUCCAAGGGGUUCCCCUCACAUAGAGGAGAAAGUGAUUGGUGGAAUGUGGAUCUAGAUCUCCUGCCUCCCCCCCCCCCAAAACUAGCAAGAAUCCAUGGAGGGAUUGAGAGAUAGCAAGCUCGAAGAAGUUCAACAAUGGGGGAAGAACACGAGCUCAAAGAUAAAGUUCAUUGGGGAAGAAGACCCCCUAUUAUAGGUGGGAAAAAUCCAACCGUUAUGCUCAUAGCCCGCACGGAGCGGUACUAUCGCUCUUCCUCAUGGUACUACCUCAAAGGGUAGCGGUACUACUGCUUGCAAGCGGUACUAAAAAAUACAUCCGUGCCUACCACCGCUGGACUUAAGACGAGUUUUUGGUCCGGAGCGGAAGUAGCCAUGGAAAUAUCCGCGGUAGUACCGCUCCCAAGAGUGGUGGAAAAAAAUUACAUUCCCUCCAAGCGGUAGUACCACUCCCAUGAGCGGUAGUACCGCUGCAGCCUUUUUAAGGACACCAAAACUGACACAACUUCUGCAAACGGACUCCGAAUUCAACGAAACCAAGUUUGUUGGAAAGCUACCGACAAGGGCUAACACAAUCUUGAUAGAAAUAACAAUAAUAAGGAAAUUAGAUAAGGCCCAUAAGAAAAUGGUGAGAACCCUUCCUCGAAUAAGACCGGUAAAACCUCCAACACCGAAAACGCAAUAGAAGAAGCAUGUGAACUCCGUUUUAGAUGAACUCGAGCUUGUCAAGAAGAUGACCAUAAGCUCCAAAUAUCACAAGGAGAAAACCAAACAAGACCCAAGAAAGAUGAUGCAAGCAUGAAAUGGUUUGAGCUCUCUACGAACGAUACGAUCAAGCUACUCACUUGAGAGCCCCCUUGAUAGUACGACAAUCGAUCCUAUAACCUGGUCUCCAAACCACCACCAUGAGACCAGUAAAAUAGAGAACCUAUCAAGGGCAAACCUUUGCCUUGCACAAAGUUCACUUGAGCUAGAUGAUGAUGAUCUUGACUCCCUGAAGUUGGACCGCCUUUCGUGAUUGCAUUGGCUUGAUGAAGGCUAGUUGAUUGCUCCCCCAUACUCCACUAUGGGUGAGUCACUCUUUGGCACACCUUCACAAGUCCACUGUCACCAUAAUGGACGGCAUGCUACAAGCAUGAUUUCUUCGUGAUGCCCCACUUGAACUUGCACAACACAACCUUGAUUUGAUGUCAUCCUCCAUGGGUUGUAUGUGAUCCUCCUCUUGACGCAAGCCCAUGGAAGCAAACCUAACCCCACAUAGAACUCUCACAAAGACCAUGGGUUAGUACACAAAGUGAAAUGGACAAUGCUUACCAAACCAUGAGAUCACUUGAUCCCACUUGGUGUAUCUUCUACGCUUUGUGUGAUGAUCAACUUGAAUCACUCUCUGUACUUAGUCUUGAUCAACCUUGACUCUUUCCAACUCUCUUCAUUUGGAUGAUGUCUUGAAGGUAAACAUGAAUGAUCACACAAUCUUCUUCUUCAAGACAUGCUUGCAAUAAGCUCAAUACUCACAUGACCAAUCUUUGGAUAAUUCCUUAAUAGCACCUUGGUCAACACAUAAACUCAUUGAAACCAACACAUGGACUUCAAGAAAUGCAUAUGGACAAAUCCUUCAAUAUAACUCAAUGCAACCAUUAGUCCAUAGAGAAUGCCAUCAAUUACCAAAACCACACAUGGGGGCACUGCAUGUCCUUUCAAUCUCCCCCAUUUUGGUAAUUGAUGACAAUCACUUUCAAGAGAGUUUAUAUAAGGAAUUAUGCAUCACCAUGCAAUGCAACAACCAAUGAUGCAUGAGUAUGAGAUGCAAAUGCUUAGGAACGAAACCAAAGCAAGAAGAAACUCUGAAAAAUUCUCCACAAAACUCUGUGAAACUUCUCCCCCAUUGGCAUUGAUUACCAAAAUGGGCGAAAAGCUUAGAAGGCCAAUAUAAAAAGUGUUCCUCCAUAAGUUGUGUAUUUCUCAACAAGAGAGUUGAAUGAAAUACACAUAUCCAAAGGUAAAUACUUGGAGGAAGAUAAACUAUAUCGAGGCACAAAGAUUGCUAAAGAAUGAUAUGCCACGAAGACAUAACAAAGAGAGACACAUGCAAUCAAGCAAUCAAAAGAUAUCAAUUGAAGCAAGCAAUCAAAGGGUAUCAAUUCAACCAACUAGACCAAUGAUCCUACGAGCCACAUGAAGAAAACAUAUUAUGAUACACGAAAGGGAGUGUUCUAAAGAAACUAGGGAAGCUCCCCAUGAUUUGUGCACAAAUAAGAAUUUUUGUAAUGGGAUACAACAUGCACAAAAUAGGAUCAUCACUCCCCCAAAAUCAAUAGAACCUCACAACUAGGGAAAGUGAGCAUGUAGGAAACAAAGCCUAGCACAAGCAACAAAUGAAUGGUUGAGCAACAAGUAAAGGAGGCAACUUAGGAAAAGCCUCAACCAAAAUGAUGUGUGUGAGUCAUGCCAAAGCACUUGUGAAGACUAAUAUAAGGAUGAGCAUGAAGCAUCAACAUAGUCUUGAAUAAAUGAGAUACAAGGUGCAAGACAUGUCCUUCCCCCACACACCAAGCAAAGGGGUUCAGAAGCACACUCAAAAUACAAAAUGAAAAACCAAAGAUCGUGACAACCCAAGGUGAAGAAGGAAAAAGAUAGCUUUGUCAUGAGGAGGGAUACCAAUCGAAAUGGCAAAAGCCUCAUCAAGACAAGCAAGAGAGAAAAGUAAAAAAACGAAAAUCUUCACCACACAUGAGUGCAUCAAGAUGCAACAAGAUAAGAUCCACACUCAAGACAAAUCCUUUCACGGAGCCACCUAGGCAAUACAAAGGAAAGAAAGGUGGAUGUGAAAGAAUAAGGAUAUCCACUAAAGAUGUAACUUAUCACAAGUGUAUAAGAUUCUAGGUAGAUGAAAAUCAUGAUGAUAUCUAUCUACAAAGAAGGAUGUACACCCGAAAUAGUUACAACACGAAGGAAGAAGAUAUCCAAAAGGAAGUCAUAAAUAUACCAACAAGAUAUUUGCUUGAAAGCAUAGCACAUGGCUAGAUAUGGUCUUAUUAUAUAUAAAUGAAUUCCUACCACACAACCAUCAAGGACAUCACAACUAGAAACAUGAGAUCAUUGUUGACAUGCUUUGAGAAGGGAAACAAGUAUCACAAGAACUAAUCAAGAAAUUCAUGCCAUGAUGCAACCUACACAAGGUUGUAUGUAAGAAAUGUAUGCAUGAGUAGAUACUUGUUACCGAGAUAGCAUUGGAAGGAUGUAGUAGAUACCAAUUGAAUGUAAACGAUAGUAGUUCAUUGAACGUCCCAGCUUGACUCCAAUAAGCACAUGGUGACACCACCUUCAUUUUGAAUGAGCCGAGCAUCCAAUGCAUCUCUAGUUGUUCCUAGAACAACACCACAAACAAAAUGGUACCCAAACUCAUUGGUACCAAAGAGUUAGCAAACAAACAAUACAUAUGACAAACUCCACAUAAAUAUGUGCAUAUAGAUAUGAAAUAGAAUCUCAUGCACAACUUAUCCAAUUAGAGACUUGGUGGAGUUUCCCUUAUAUAUUGGGUCAAAGAAAGAAAACAUGCCAAAGAAACUACAUGAAGUUAAUAUGCAUGAUCAAGACUUUCAAGAACCGAUACCAAUUGACAAAGAAAUGCCACAUGAAGAAAAGAUACCAAAUGAAUAAAUCAUCACUUGGAGGAUAUCACUUGAAAGAUUCAACAAGGAAUGAUAUAUCCAUUGAAACACACAAAAAGAGAGAUAUCGAACUCCCAAAAGAGAGGAUGGUUGCAAACAAACCAAGCCCUCUACUAAGUUUCAUGAUGGCACAAUGUACCAAAAAAAAACG
rnacentral:lncRNA from 1 species